rnacentral:lncRNA from 1 species
ACAACUUUAGCUCUCGUAACCCGGAACCACUGCCUUUUCCCACAACAAAAUUACACAACGUCUGAAGACUAGUCAACCUACCAAUUCCUACUGGCAUUUCCUCCAACGACUUCGUAUUUGAAUUCUUAAGAUGAUGCAAUUUGGCGAGGUUUCCCAUGUCUGCACACAACUUCUUCAGCCGAUCACAAUCUUCCAACAAAAGACUAUGCAAAUUGUAAAGCUUGUUGACUGAUUCAGGCAGAGUUCUAAUCUCAGUUGUAGACAGGUUAAGGUACCUUAAAUACCUCAAAUCACCAAUUGAAUCAGGCAGCUCAGGGAUGCAGUAUCCACGCAAAGAGAAGACCCUCAAGCGUCGGAGUUUGAGCAACUUAGGAAGAAUGCUAGGAGCCAAGAAGCCAGGCGAACUUUUUGUCAACAUUACUGGUAAAAAAGUUCUCAAAUGCUGGAUAUCAUACAAGUCCCCAAACCUUUUACCGCCAUCAAAAUAUUCAGGAAUGUAUGAUAGAUGACGAAGAUUUUCGGAAAAACUUUGCUGCUUGUAAAUUUCUGAGGUAUACUCCAUUGUGAAGUAUAUCUCCCCCGCAGCCCAACGGGCAAGGUCAUUGAUAAGAUCGUGCAUCACAAAUCGUGAUGUAUUGUUGCUUAAUUGCUGGAAAAAAGAUCUUGAACGUAGCUCUUGAAAGAACUUUCGACCUAGAACUUCGUUAGGAUUCCCACUCUCUUUAUGAACCAAGAAACCCGAAGCACUCCAUAAUAAAAUUAUCUCCUCCUCUUCAAAUUCAUAAUCCUUCGGAAACAACGAGCAGUAUGCAAAGCAUUGUUUCAAAAUUGGAGGAAGAUAAUAAUAGCUCACUGCAAGAGCUGGUAUAAUGGGACAUCUAUCUUCUGGUAAUUCCCAUAUCUUGCUACUGAGCACAUCUUCCCACACACCUCUGUCAUGUUCUCCACAUAAAAGUCCUCCCAGUGUUUUUGCUGCCAAGGGCAAGCCAUUGCAUUUGAUCACUAUCUUCUUACCAAUGUCCUCCAAUGACUUGUGUGAACUGAAAUCUCUUGUCCCCAAAGAGUGCUGAGCAAACACAGACAGACAAUCCUCAGUUGACAAGUUUUUCAAUUCAUAAGCUUGAUCCGGCCUCAUGAUUUUUGCAACCUGUUGAUUGCGAGUAGUGACAACAAUCUUACUUCCCUGUGCGCCAGCUUCAAACGGACGGCUCAUGUCAACCCAGUCAUUGUAAUUCUCAUUCCAAACGUCGUCUAAAACGAGCAAAAAUUUCUUUUGAGAUAACUUCUUCUUCAGCUCCUCUUGAAGCAAAUUUAAAUCACUGUCAUCAAUAGUCUGCUUGGUAAUGGAUCUUAGAAUUGUUUUUGUUAGCCCCUUAACGUCGAAAUCCUCAGAGACACAAGUCCAUGCCUUGAGAUCAAAAUGAUCCUGCACUCGCUUAUCAUUGUAGACAAGCUGAGCAAGAGUGGUUUUGCCCAGGCCGCCCAUACCUAUAAUAGGAAUAACAGAGAAUCCACCAUCGUUGCUUAAAUCAUCCCUCAACAGCAGUUCAACAACAUCCUUCUUUUCUGUUUCCCUGCCAUAUACUUUGGCUUCAGUCACUAAAGAGGUUGUCUCCAGCCUUUGACUGGCUUUGUUGGACCCUCCAGCUGAACUUUCUUUCAAAUCUAGCAAGUUUUUCUGUGUCACAAUUUCUUGAAAUCUGCUGUUGAUCUCUUUGAUUUUGGACAUCAAGCCAUAAUCGAACUGAAUCGAUUGUGGAGUAAAAGUGGUGCAGCAAGCAGGAAUGAGCUUCCGAAACUUACUUGUUCUGGCACGACUGCUACUGGGUUGAUCAUGAGCAGCAGCUGGUUCUCCAUUUCCAAGCAGCAACAUCCUCCGGAAAGCCUCAGUUUGAAACUCAUCCAACAAGUCUUCAACAUCAUAAGCCAAGUUCUGAAGCUUGCCAAGCCACUUCUUCACAGACCGAUUAGUUGUCUUCUUCUCCUCAGCAUCAUCAAGCACCGCCUUGAUCAUCUCCAACAUAUUCUCCCACUUCAUUAGAUAGUCUUGGAUCUUCUCUUGGCGUGCAAAAAACAGAAUCCCCUCUGAAGCUAACUUAUUGACCAGCAAAUCAACAGAUGCCGUAAGGAUUGCCUCUCCGAUGAUCGACAUUUUUUUUCUUUUUUUUGGGCAAAGGAAGAAAGGAGCAGAAUUAUGGGUUAUGGAAAGCAGAAUGAGAAUAUUGAACGGGUGAGAAAAUGGAUAAUUAAGCGGAAUGAGUUUGUGAUUGUGAAGGGUCUGGUACAGCAAGCUUAGUAGAAAUCACGCGUUUGUACUUUAUUGACCAAUGACUAAAUAAUUUGGCAAUGCACCCACCACCACCACUUGGUGAGCAAAAUGAAAAAGUUUAAUAAGUGGAGGGGUCCAGCAAAAUACGACGUAAAAUGUGGCAAGUCUCCCCACUUGUUGUUCGUUGCAGCUAAGAAAAGAAAAAACAGAGCCCACCACCCAUUAAUAAUUUAGCAAAUCACCAAUCAUCACAAAAUUCCAUUAGAUAUUCGUCGAUCAAGUAGUUAAUCCAGUGUCUGCUACGUAGAGCCUUCACUUUACAAAUCUUCAACUCAUAAACCAAGUUAAAUCAAGACGUUUCUCUCUCUGUAUAUAUUUUUUUUAACUCCUAAAACGUUUCUUUUUAGAAAUAUAUUACUUUAUUCAUCUAAUAUGUUAUCUAACAAAUAGACACAGAUGAAAUCACUCUAAAGUGAAGAUGAAAGGGGAAAAAAAAAACAUUCCAACCACCAAUAAUUUAGCAAGCGUCACUUUUAUUCCACCAAAGUGUAAAUAAAGCCAGCCCCCACCACCAUCGAUAAUUUUGCAAGCUUCACACGCUUGUUGUCUUCUCCUUGACGAACUGGACGGGGUGGACCAAGAAUCAAUGAAAGAAUUUUAAAAAUAAUAAUAAAAGAAAAACAUAAACAUUUUGGACUCAGAGUAGAACCGUAAUUAAUGCUAAAAUUUACUCCGCUAACGUUUUCAAAAUAUUGUUCUUUACAAUUGUACAGCAAAUAAGACUAAGUUUUGGACAUUUUCAUAUUCACUUACUUUCAAAAGCAGUAUUUCGAAACAUUUUACAGAAUCAAGUAACAGUUAUAUAACGAGAAAAGUGCAAAGUUGUGUAAUUCUAAUGUUUAUUUUAUCACUGACACUCAGAUCAUUUUUUAUUUGGGUCGCCAACUCGCCAAUGAACCCAUGAUUGAAUAAGUGUUUAGAAAGAAAAUCAAUAAAAAACAGUUUUUUUUUUGUCGUCGAAAUAUAGUAAGUGAGAAAGAUUAUUCUGUUUUUUUUGUUAAUUAGGUUAGUAAUUAUGAUUGAGUGACUCAGAACUAUAUUCUAGAUUGAGAAUCAAUGGUUCUCCCACACUGAGAGGCUGUAAGUUUAAGAUUGUCGUUUGCUAUUUCAUCAACAAGAGAACACUUGAAUUUAUUAAAAAGAGAAGGCCAUAAAAGUUUUCUUUUAUGAGAAAUGUAUCUGAUCAUUCCUUUUUACUUGAAAAUUUCAUAUAUAAAAACUCAUUAAUAAAUGACAGAAUAUACAUAAAUUAUUAAUUCAUUUGAUAGUUGAUUAUCGAAGGACAUGUGACCCAUGGGAGCAUGCAGACUAUAAAAUAAUUCUUUUUUUUAUUAAACAAAAAAUCGGUGAUGUUGAAAAGCAAUAUUAAUUCGACUGAUAAUUGGGGUGAACAUUCAUAAAAAGAAUGCCGUAUGAAACUAAAUUAUUAAUUCGUUUGACAUGUGACCCACAAUAAAUAGUUAAAUUUGGCGGCAACAAUAAUUACAAGACGAACUUAAAGCAGCGCAUAGGUUUUUCUUAAAAAUACAUAAACAAUUCGAUAUUUGAAAUUCUAAUAUCUCAAUAAUCUAGUUAUCCUGUAUUUAGAUCCACAUACAAUUUCUUUUUUUCUUUUUUCUGAUUUCCAAUCGUUACCAAAAGAAAAUAUUUAGUGAUCCCUUUUAUCAACUUGGUUUUAUUGACUUUCUUCCAAUCAUAGAAGUGAAAAGAGAAACAGAGGCCAGCACCAAUAAGUGUUGUGUUACCAGAUUCUGUAAAGACAAAAUCAGUGCCCAGCAAAAAGAAGCAAUGUUUUCGUUAUAUGCUGCUUCCUAUUUAGUACAUGCAUAUAAAGAUAUGCACGUGCACAUGCAGCACAUCUAUCUAAAAUUUAAAAAAAGUAAUUAGAAAUACAGGAAUUAUGGUAGAAAUAUAACAGGAAUAAGAGUGAAAUUACAAUUUUAAAAUUUGGGAGAAAUGAAAUGCGAUAUUUUUUUUAUGAAUAAAAUAAUUUAAUUUUUUUUAAUUCUACCAGCAAAAACCAUUAACUUAUCAAGUUAUUGGUUUCAUUCACAGUUAACAGUCGGUUUCUUAGUUUCAUUCCUUAAUUCUACAAGAAAAAAACAGAAUACUUGACAUUUACUAUUUGACAAUUUUUAAGAAAUGUCAAGCAUAUAUGACAUUUUGUGAAAAACUGAGUAAUUGUGAAAUAUAAAUGACAAUUUAUUUAAACGUCAAAUAAUUGUGACGUUUUAUCAAAUAAAUGAUAAAUAUAUUACAUAUUUAUUAAAUAAUUAUCAUUUACCUUUUCCUUUUAUUGACUUGAGAAAAAAACAAAAACAUUGACUAUACUGCUUUUGUUUUCGUUCUUAGAACAGAUUUUAGUUUCUUUUGAGAAAAUUCAAACUCAUUCCCAUUACUUUCUUUUCAAUAAUCACCUCUCAGUUUUUCAUCAAUCACUCAAUACCGAAUUACAUCUCCAUUCUCUUUCGAAGAAGAACGCACGAAGAAUUUUAGCUUGCUUUCGCUGCUUCUCGAAUAUUGGGUAUUGUUUCCUUUAAUUUAGAUAAUUUUUUUUUUUAUAUCUCUCUUUCUAGUUUGAUAAUUUAUGGUUAUACUUGAAUUAAUUGUAUUUUUAAUCAACCAAGGUUGAUUUAAUUGAUUCCAAGUCUCAAUUUCCUGUUCAACAAACAAGGAACGCACAAAUAAUUUUCAUUUUCAUACUCAAUUUUGAAAGAAUCAAUUUAUUUUAUCUUUGGUUAGUACACUUCUGUUCAAUUUUUGUUUAUUUAACUUAAGAUAUCUUUUUCUUUCUUUUCUUCAAGCAGAUUAUAGAUUAUAUUGAGAACAGAGCUUUCUCCUUAAUUCCGCCAAGAGCAACGUUGAUUUCAGGUGAUAAUUGAAUGUGUAAUAUUUUCAAUUGAAAUUAAUUGAGUCUCGUAAUAAUAAUAGGGAUUUGAGAUUUACAUCCUGUUGAAAUGAUUUUAGAGUGUUUUGCUAUUUGAAUGCGUAUUAAUUGUUCCUCUGUUUCAAAUCCAAAUCCACUGGUCUACUAUUCAUUAUGACAAUGCAUAUGCCGAUAUUGUCUUCCAUCCUUUGUGUACCUUUCAAUUUAGUGAGGUUUAGACAGGGGUUCCAGAUUUGGUAAAUCAACAAUCACCAGAUAUGUAGAGCGGCCGGAAGAGGAAGCAUGGUUCCUAAUCCUAAUCUUGAUUUAGAGCAGAUUAGGUAACAUGUGACAUUCUACAUUCUUGCAAUGCCAUUUCUUGUUAUGGCAGCGGCAUUCUUGGUCAUGGCAUCACAAGCAAAUGCUUUGAUUUGAAGACUUGCUUGGCUAUGAAAAAUAAGGAGAGCAAAGGUAAUUAAUCUUGGUGUGAUCAACAUUUUUAUGGGGGUACUAAGAAAAAUAAAGAUAAUAUAAGGAAUGUUGUUGAGGAGUAUUUUCAUAUUUACACAAGUAUUCAAAGUAAAAAUUGAUUUCUUAAAACCCAUUAGCUAGCGCACAUAAUAAUGGGGAGAAAAUUUUAGACUACGAAUGGUCCCGCCCAUUUAAUAAUAUUCUUCAAUCAAUUAUGUUUACUUCAAAAAAAAAAAAACCUAUCUCUUUAUUACUUUCUAACUAUUCAUAUUAAUGUGUUAAUAAUUAUGAAGAACCGGUGUAAUUUAUAUGAUGUAGGAAGCACUUUAGGCAAAAUCAUUUGAAUCUCAAAAUUUCGUGAUAUUGUGCCAAAUAUCGAAAACAGAGCUUCCUAUCACAGAAAUUAGGAAUCACUGGAGAGUAGAGUUACGUGACUGAAUAGUAUCAUAUCACAGAAACUCAAAACUCAAAAGUGCAAUAACAUUGAACAUUCAGCUGGCUAGCUUAUAUUGAUUAAUUAAUACUACUACUAGUUCUUUAUGAUUAAUUAAAAGAUAAAAUAUUUGACAAUCACGAAACAUUAUUCCAUCACUGAAGAGUAGAGCUUCCUACAUUGUUACCCAAGCUCUUUUAUAUCUCCCAAACAUUAUUAGAGUCCCACAUUUGUGGGCACAUCAUUAAGUAAAAUGUGCCAAUUAGGAAGAACUGGCUUCUUUGUUUUGUUUUCUGGGAUGUGUUGCAAUUUUCAAGUAUCAUUCAAAAUUUUACACCAUCAACACAGGAAAAUUAUAUAUAUUCUGUCAGCACUUGCAUAUGUUGCAAGUGCUGACAGAACUUUUCAUUUGAUUUGAUAAUUGGCUAAGGGUGAUUUCGAUAACGUUUCCAAAGAAGACAUAGAACAAAGAUCAAAAAGAAAAAUAAGUAAUUUGAUCAGUCGAUGCAAAAAAUGAGCGAGCUUCGUAGUCUGACUAACAGGAAAUGGCUUGGAGCAAGGAUCAAUGGACAAGUUUGAGGUUUAUGAAUAAACAGAACAGAGGAAAUAAGUGAUCAAUUUAUUACUUCGUGCAAUGGCCACAGCAACAGCGAAAAUAUGUCUACAUGACUACAUUAUCCGACUGGCAUGGUACUAUAACCGUGCAGCAUUACACUAACAUUUCCUUAUCAAUCAAUUUUGAUGGUAUGAUAUUAAAAACAUAGAUUUCAUAAUUUUAUGUAAUUCAAAGAAAAGAUAUAAUUGAUUUGAGUUAGUUUAACAUAUAAGGAAAGAGUAAUGGGGAAUGAUGUUGAUGUGGCAUGUGAUGAGUAAAGAUAGACAACAAAUAUUGAUCGUGUAAUAAUGAAAUAUGUAUUUAUUGAAAAUAAAUUGACAAUUAAAAUUAAUAGAUAUAUAUCCAAUGCAUCGAGUUUAUUUUAUCACUUCGCUAACCAUUUUGUAACUACAUGUUAAUUAGAAGUUCAAUUAAUUUUGACCAAAGACUCUAGAGAAUGUCGAAAAGAGAUUUGAUUUUUGUCUUAAAAAAAAUUAGAAAUGAAAUAAGUCAAAAUCAAUCACAAGAACAACAACAAGAGCAUAUUUUAUAAAACCACAAAUACAUAAUAUAAAUUUAGUUUCGAAUUAGAUAAUUAUUAAUUUGUAUUGUAAGAGAGUCUUAUAGAAAAAUAGGAAUUUUUUAAAAGGAGAUUUGCUUAAGGAACAACUUUAGUUAAUGGAAGGAAAUACAAGUUUGAUUUUGACAAAGUAAUCACUAAAAUAUUUGACAAGUUUGAGAUGUUAAAAAACUGGAAAAAUAGACAAAUAAUGAAAACCCUACAAGUUGGCAAAGCGAAUAAACAGAGGAAAACAGAGCAAAUAUUUACCGUUAUACAUAUAUUUUUUUAUUUUUUUCCGAAAAAGAAUGUUGCGAUAUUUUUUCCCAAAAAGAAGCACAGUUUGAUAUUACUACCAAAGAACUUUAGCUACCAUAUAUAAGCACGUGUCUAAUUACCAAAUGAAUUCCGCUAUAACAAAGAAUAAAAGCUAAUUUCAUUGAUGGCAUAUGUCGUGCUUUCUUUUCUUUUAUUUUAUUGAAGUUACUUUGUAAACUGCUCCAAGCUAAAUACAAAAUUUACUCUUACACUAGGAUCUUUGCAAUGGUCCAGCAAUUUGUAUUUCCAUUCGGUGAGGUUGGUUUUUUUCUUUAAAGUUGGGAAGUCCAUGUUUGCCAUCAAGAGUACGAUUAAAGAAGAGAUGUUACAAUACACAAAAAGGAAAAAAAAUGCCCAAGGAAGCUUGGGACACUUUUGCAAUGAUUUUUUUUCAAUGAAGAAUAACACACAACUACAACUUUUGGACAAUGAGUUACAGUCAAUUUCACAGCAAAGCAACUUCAAUAACCGCAAAAUUUUUGGGUUAGAUCCUACUGUUGCAAUUUCUGAAUCCAGAAUGAAGAGAAUUAUUAUCCAUAGCUUGGUCAUAUACAAUAUGUGUGUGCGUGUGUGUAUGUGUGUGUAUUGGGAUGUCACAGGCCCUAAAAGAUACAGCUGAACAUCAAUCCUAAAUCUAAAGUGAAAAACAGUAGCUAGAACAUAAUCUUUGUUUUGAUGUCUUUGUUUAUAAGCUCAAACAAUUGACAGUAUAGAAAAUGCAUGAUAGAACAUAGAACUCAUAUUUUAGCAAUAAUCCUAAGCUCACUGGCCCUUAGUUCAAACUGGCAGUUCUUAUUAGUCAAAGAAUCAAAUUGACUUUUAGUUGUAUAUAAGUAGAGCACUAGAUCAACAAAUAAUUGAAGACUUGCUUGGCUGUGGAACCAUAGGAAGGCAAUUCGUGAACAGCCUUGAUAUUUCAUUUGGUUUUAUUUAAUUCUUUGUAAAGUCGUAUUGUAUGUAAAAUUUUUGUUAAAUGAAAUCGGUAUGUGAAGAGAAUUUUUAAAAGCAACCAUCAAAGUCACGAUCAAAGGGACGAAAUCAGUAUAAAUAUUGAUUGUCUCAAGUUAGAUUAUACAAAGAUGAAAUAAUUCUAAUCUAGAAAAUUCGAUCAUUAUAAUUUGAUUUCCAUUAUAUUAAUUAUGUUCAAUCUUGCUAUUUUAAUGAAGAACACUCGAGGAUUUAUAUACACUCAGCUUAUGAAAUUAAUUACAAAACGAUCUUUGACCAAGUCUGAUGAAAAGAUCAUAUUAUAAGUGCAAAGUUACACUUCCCGAUCAUGCAACUAUCCAUCGAAUUGUGUAUUGUGUUAUCGUUGAGCUCUUAGGAAGAUUCAGCUGCUGAGGAGAAGAUGUAAUCUGUUUUUAUGUGACAAGCCAUGUACUCUGCUUUUAUGGUGUUUCUCUUGGUAGUUUUGGACAAAACUGUAAUGUAAAUUUCUAUCUUAAGGGAUUCCUAAUCCUUUUAGUUAGUUUGGGAUUGUUGAUUUAUCUAUGAUGUUUGGUAUCCAAAAUUCAGGUGAUGAUAAUCUUCGCAGUACUUUUGUCAAAUUUUCUUUUAUGUUGGUGUUGUUUUAAUUAAAUAUCACAAAGGUGCAAAAUGCGGUAAAAUUAACAUUGAGCUCAUGAGAUUGCCAUUAGAUAUAUUGAAAAAGAAAUUGAUACAAGAAACUGAAAAUUAGUUGUUAAUUAUGAUGGGAAUAUAAUCUUUGAAUUAUAAUUAUAUCUAUCUAACGCAUGUGCACUAAUCUUAUUUAUCUCUAUCACUGAAAAAGCAGAGUGGCCUGAUUGAAUAGUAUCAUAUUAUGUCACAGCAAUCACAAAAACUCACUCAACAUUAUGCUAAUUUAUACUAAUUAAUUAAUACGACUAACAGGAAAAGUUGGAUCUCGCCUUGCUAAAAAUCAGGUGAUUGUUUUUCAUUUUUGCGGCUACUUGACUCAAUUAUGUUAUUGCAAGAGGAGAUUUCUAUUUUGUCCGGUUUAAGCCAUAAGAUGGGUUUUAAGAUUCAUUCUGAUUGGUUAUCUGUUAGCUUUUUGUUUUAAGAACUUCUUAUUUACGAAAGCCAAAUUCUUCUUUCUAGGUUUAUUCAUAUUCAGAAGUUGCUUUUGUCAUAUCAGAAGAAGAGGCUAAGACUGUUGAAGUACUAGAAGGGACUACUGCGCUGAUUGCCUUUUUCAUGGGCUUCUAAUAUCCAAUGUUGAUUAUCUCUUCCAUUUGAACAUGAGAGUAAAAAGAUAGUUGAUAUUUAUGUUACAAAAGUUGGAAGCGACUUAAGCAAUUCAGUAUCAUGCGAGGACUAUAAUAAUAACCCCGAUUAUUUUGCCUCUUGGAUUUUUUUGUUAAUUCACUUGCUUUAUGCUUAUCCGACCUCUGAUUUUUUCUUAAUAUUUCUUUGUAGUUCACUUCACAGCACUUAUAGCCGCUGCAUUGGCAUUUUCUGCUAUUUGUUAUUGUUCAUUGAAGCUAGUUAGUUUACGAAAUUUCUUUUUGAUAAAUCUUCUUCAGAGGGUUGUGAGAGGCCAAAUCAAUUGAGAUGACCGGGUUUUCUAGAUCAGCCAUCUUUGUCGUCAACAGUGCUAAACUGUCAAUUACUGAGACACCAAACUCUAACCCGAUUCAUAUGGAUGUAGACUAAAGCUUCUUGCCGAUACCAUCCCAGUCAAAGCUGCUAUCUUUGAAAGUUUCGCAAGACAAAACAACGUUGGUUUCCCAGUCGACACAAAUACAGAUUUCAUAUGUGCAGAUUGCUCUCAAUCUCUGUUUAAUAAGCUAGUCCUCUGCUGUAUCCUAGAAGGUGGAACAAUACAUUAUGCUUCCCAGCAGGCUCCAAUGGGAUCUAUAUAUGUUUCUGCUGCCAAAUUUUUGAAAGCGAUCAUUGUGAAUAUCGCUGCCCAGUCUGAAGUGGGCUUUGAUACUUGUGACAAUACUCCAUCGAGGCUGUAAAGAAGCCGUGGGUGUACAUUUCUGGUCCAACAAUCAAUCUAACUGGCUUACUUUACAGCAACAAAGAGAUAGAAAAUAUAUUAACUGCUUGUGCAGAAUAUGGAGCAAGAGCUUAUUUAGUGUCGUGUCAAAAUAAAUAUAACAAAGUUUAAGCUGAAUAUAAAUUGUUAAUUACAGGCAGAGCAAGUUGAGUUUAAAAAAUGCGAAGCACCCAGUCCCAAAACAGAGAAGCUUGACGUUGGCCGGCAGGAUUAAUAUUAUUUUUUUUAACAACAAUCAAAGCCAGUCGGGAAUUUAUUAAGAGGUUAAUUAGUUGAAGUAUAAAAAAGGAAUUAGCAGGAUUCACGCCCGACCAAAUCCACAUGGCCAAAGCAAAGGAUUAAGUUUGAGAGAUUAUAAUGAAAUAUAAGUAAGCUUCGCACAUGCAUGCGUCUGACUGACAGAACAAAUGAAGGAAACAUAAACUUAUCAUUUUUAAGAUGUAAGCAUCAAAACAUUCGACAAGUUUGAGGUUCGUGAGAUAUUGGGAAAAUAUACAAAUAAUAAAGCCACUACAAGUUAAGCAGAGCAAAUAAACAGAGGAAAUAACUGAUCAAUUUAGUUCUUUGUGCAAUGGCCACAGCAACAGAGAAAAUAUGCCUACACGACUACAUUAAUCCUACUGGCGUGGUACUAUCACCAUGCAAAUUAACAUUAACAUUUCAUCAUCAAUCAGUUCUGAUGACAUGAUAUCAAAAACAUUGAUUUCAUAAUUUUAUGUAAUUUCAUAUAAAAGAUAUAUAUAGUUUAUUUGAGUUAGUUUAAAAUAUGAAGAAAGAGUAAUGGGGAAUGAUAUCGCUGUAGCGUGUGAUGAGUAAUGAUAGACACCAAAUAUGGAUCAUGUAAUUAUGAUAUAUGUAUUUACUGAAACAUAUUUGGCAAUAAAAUGAUGCUUUAAAAAUUUAAUAUUGUUUGCUUGAAAAUAAUUUGACAAUUAAAAGUAAAAGAUGUAUAUGCAAAACUUUGACCUUAUUUUAUCACUUCACUAACCAUUUUGUAAGUACAUCUUAAAUCGAAGUUCAAUUAAUGCUGACGAAAGACUCCAGAGAAUGUCGAGAAGAGAUUUGAUUUUGGUAUACCAAAAAAUUACAGAUGAGAUAAGUUAAAAUCAAUUACAAGAACAACAAAAAGAAUAUAUUUUAUAAAAGCCACAAAUACAUAUAAUAUAUAAUCAGUUUCGAAUUAAGUAAUUAUUAACUUAUAUAGUGAGAAAGUGUUAUAGGAAAGUUGGAAUUUUUUAAAAGAGAUUUGCAAAGGAAAAAGUUUAGUUUAGUUUAGUUUGCGAAGGCUCAAGUAAUUCAAAGCAAUUAGCAAUGCAAUUGAAGGAAAUAUAAACUUCUAAUUUUUACAAAGUAAUCGCUAAAAUAUUUGACAAGUUUGAGAUUUUCAAAAAGCUGAAAAAAAUAGACAAAUAAUGGAGACCCUACAGAUUGGUAGCGCAAAUAAACGGAGGAAAAUAUGGCAAACAUUUAUUUUUUCCAAAAAGAAUAAAAGCACGUGUCUAAUUACCAAAUAACUUCACUUUAAAAAAUAAUAAAUGCUAAUAUCAUUGUUAGCACAUGUUGUGCAUUUUUCAUUUAUUUAUUUGCUAUUACUUAUUGAAGUUACUUUGCAAACUGCUCCAAGCAAACUACAAAAUUUCUUAUCACUCUAGGAUCUUUGCAAUGGUCCUGCAAUUUGCCUUCCUUUCUAUUAGGUUAGCUGUUUAUUCAAAAGAAAAAAAAUUGGGGAAAUGGAAACCUCACCCUCUUAAUACAGAUUUUGAAUUUUAUUAUUAUUAUUCAAAAUUAGAUAACUAUGCAAAUAAUGGGCGGUUAUAACCAGUGAAACUGUGUCUAGCUACGACGCAGGUUUAAUUUUCUCUUGAUUAAAUAUAUAAACAAAACUAAAUCACCUGAGCCUCUGGUUUCACUAUUUUUCAACUUGAAAUUAAAACGCAAAAAUUGAUGGUAUUGGAGUUCGUUGUUUAGUUUUGCUGUAGGUCAUGGGGAAUCAAAUAGCCAUCCAUUUUUAAGUCUAUUUUAUGUACUAUUGGUCACUAAGUAUUGGGAUGUCAUAGGCCCUAAAAGAAAAAGCUGAAAAUCAAUCCCCUAUCUAAAGUGGAAAACAGUAGCUAGAACAGAAUCUAUGGUUUGAUGUCUUAGUGUAUAGGCUUAAACAAUUAAUAGUAUAGAAAAUGCAUGAUAGAAUUCAUAUUUUAGCAAUAAUCCUCACCUCACUGGCCGUUAGUUCAGAAUGACAAUUCUUAUUAGUCAAAGAAUCAAGAUGAUUUUUAGUUGUAUAUGAAUAGCGCAGUAGAUCAACAAAUAAUUGAAGACUUGCUUUUGCUAUUGAACCACGCGAUGGCAAUUCGAAGACUACAGCUUAGCUCUGCCAUUCGAAGUAAGCAAAUCAGCUGCCCAAAGACUGCCAAGCCAUCAAGACAAUACCAAGAUACAACAUCAAGAAUUACAUACAGGCCGUCACAUAUUACAUUUCUCCUCUGUUUUAAGAGAGAUUUACGAGCCCAUGCAGUAGAAGUAAUUAAUUAAUUUAUACAGUUCAGUACUCAUUCCUCCUCUGUUUCAAAUCCAAAUCCACUGCUCUGCCAUUUAUUAUGACGCAGGGUAUAUGGGUUAGCAAGUGUCGAUAUUGUCCUUCAUCCUUUGUGUACCUUUCUUCUAACAAGGGACAGCACGAGAUCUCUAAUCACAAAAGAGAGGCAGGCAGGCCGUUCGCUGGAAAGUACUUGAGCUUGGGACAAUUACAGAGUUUCAAUGAAAUGAGGUUUUGAUGAUCAACAAUUGAAGAAGACAGGCGUUCCAAAUUUGGUAAAUCAACAAUCACCAAAUAUGCUAGAGUGGCAGGAAGAGGAAGCGUGGCUCCUAAUCCUAAUCUUGAUUUAGUAUUGCGUAUGUAACAUGUGGCAUUCUACAUUCUUGCAAUGCCAUUUCUUGUUAUGGCAGUAGCGUUCUUUCACCAUGGCAUCGCAAGCAAAUAUUUGACUUGAAGACUUGCUUUGCCAAGAAAAAUAAGGAGAGCAAAGGUAAUUGAUUUUGGUGUGAUGAAUAUUUUUAUGGGUGUUCUAAGAAAAAUAAAGAUAAUAGAAGUAAUGUUAUCGAGGAGUAUUUUGAUAUUUACAAAAGUGUUCAAAGAAAAAAGUGAUUUUUUGAAAUCUAUUUGCUGGUGAACAUAAUAAAAUGGCAUUCCGACUUCUGCGUAAAUUUAAAACUACAAAUAGUUUUACUCUUUUAAUAAUAUUCUUCAAUUAAUUCUGUUUCUUUCACAAUAAAAAAUCCAUCUCUUUAUUACUUUCUAACUAGUCAUACUAAUGUGUUAAUAAUGAAGAACCAGCGUAAUUUAUAUGAUAUAAGAAGCCCUUUAGCACAUUAACCCGAAUUUAGCUAAUGCAUGUGCCUAAUAUAGCGAAAUCAACAUUCGGCUCAUUAGAAUGCCAUUAUAUAUACUGAAAAAGAAAUUAAUACAAAAAAAAACUGAAUAUUAAUUGACACUGGAUCAUGUUGGAUUGUUAGUUGUUAAUUAUGAUGGGAAUACAAUUUUCAUCUUUUGAUUAUCCGCUAACUAAUGCAUGUGCACUUUCAUUUGUGUCUAUAUAUACAAAAACUUGUAUCCCAUGGUUUACAUAUGUAUGAAGAUAAUGUAAUAAAGUGCUUUUGAUAAAUUCCCCUGGUCUGUUUACUUCACUAAUUCAUUAAUGUGCAAGUCCUCUAUAGAGCUGUGUUGUGCGUACAAGUUUUGCUACAUGAAAUCGUUAGGUGAGGAGAAUUUUUAAAAGCAUACAUCAAAGUAAUGAUUAAAGGGACAAAAUCAACAUAAAUAUUGAUUAUCUUGAGUUAGAUUACACAAAGAUGAUAAUGUAGUAAAUUUAUCAUAAUACACUACUAAAAAAUGCAUUUUAAUGACACAAAUUUUAUGACAUACAUCUUUAUGUCAUGAAAAUACUUGCAUGAUGUAUAAUGCUUCUGUGAUUAUUUGAUGAUAAAUUCAUAAUUGAUGCAGAUACAAAAUGAAGUGAUGAUAGGUAAAUAUCAUGUGAUUUUUUUUAUGGGUAAGAAUAUUUGAACCCACCAAAUUACUCUUUAAACUUACUUUUUUAUUGAUAAUUUUAUUACAAAAUUACUGANNNNNNNNNNNNNNNNNNNNNNNNNNNNNNNNNNNNNNNNNNNNNNNNNNNNNNNNNNNNNNNNNNNNNNNNNNNNNNNNNNNNNNNNNNNNNNNNNNNNNNNNNNNNNNNNNNNNNNNNNNCCGCAAAACUCAAUCAAAGUAUGCUUAUUUUCUUCUUCUGCACAAGUGUAGCAAAGUUUUUAAUAAGUUCCUCCUUCAUCCACAGUUGAGAACUUUCUAACUUUUGUUUCUUGUUCUAGUAAUUUGGAUAUGCUGUGUUAGAUACUGAAUUUAUUAAAUUUCUUCUUCUCUUUUGAAUAAAAUCUCUUUAAAAUUCAAUCCAUAAAAAAAAAAUUAAUCUCCUUAUAAUUUAAUAUGUUUCGGCUGUCUUAGUGGAAUGAUGCAAUUUGUGUCAAUCAAAGUUUUGAAGCAUCCUAAAUUAUAUAUUUUUUUGUUUAAUUUGUUUAGAGUUCAAUUGUUUAGAUCUAGGCUAAUUUUUAUUGAUAAUAUUUAUGAUUAAAUUAUAUGAGUAUGCUUAAAUUUUUUUUUCCUUCAAAUUUAUUUUCUGAUGUUGCAUUUGGUUAGCAAAAAGAUAAAAAUAGUAGAAAAUGUCCGAAUUAUUGUUAUGAAAAUGUUGUUUUAGUCUGAUAUUGGGAAAAUAUCCUUAUACAUAUCGGCAUGAUAUUCAUGGGAGACCAAAUUGAGAAUGAUGGCAGACUAUGCAUUGCUCACAACUAAUUUAAAACUCACUAUUUCUAUUGUUUGUGUUUUAGUAACUUUGGGGGAAUUCCAACUAUAGUUAAUAAGCUAUAAACUUGUUUAGGAUUACUAAUCAACUUGCUAGAAAGAGUUGCAAACUAAUUAGCUUUCUCUUAUAACUUUUACAGAUCAUCUGUGGAGGAGAACUGCAAGGAGUUGAAGACUCUAGACCCUAAACUUCAUAUCUUGAUUUAUAAGUGCAAUGGCCAUAAGUCCGAAUUAUGGGCUGGAGAUGGUAUAUGUAAUCUUUCUGCUCUUGGUGUUUUUUUUUUUUUCCCCUCUAGUUAUUUUUUGCUCUCUACUCCAUUGUAUAUUUGUAUUCAAAAGUAUUUUUUUCUUUGUUUUAAGCUUUCAAAUUUAUGGAGAUGAUCUUAUUAGGUGUUAAAAAAAUAGUUGUAGAGCUUUACUAAAACUAUGUAAACUCUUAUUGAGAUUUGGGUUUGAUUUUGUAAGAUUGCUAAAAAUUUCAUAUUUUAUACUUGUUUUAUACUUUUCUAGUCGAAUUUCUUGCUUGUGGAAGAUAAAAUAAAAGUCCAAUUCAUGUUGUAAAAUUUUUUUUUCCUCCCUUUUUUCUUCCCUUAUAAUCUGGCUCUGGUUUUGGUGCAGUUUAUGGUUUCAAUGCAGGGAACCAAUUUCAUCAGAAUCAUCUUAAAGGAUCAAAGUGGCUUCCUUUUGUAACUGGGUAAGUCAAUGCUACUUCCUGAAUUCGAUUUGGAGUUCUUUCGGAAUAGAUUUCCUUCCCUUACAUCACUUGGCUUCUAGUUGCAUCUUCUUGGCUUUCUCCAACGGACUUUUUUAUUGGCAAAUUCGUUUGUUUCUAUUGUUUUCAAGUGCUAGUGCUGGAUUUGGAGGUAUGAAUGGUGCCUUCAUUUUUAUUUUUUUAAUUUUCUUUUGGGUGUAUAGUACUGUAAUAUACUUCUUUGUAUAGCUAGUACAAAAUAGUUCUUUAAUUUUAUUUGUCAUGAUUUAUUUCUAUUGCCUGGUGAUGACACCCAUCACGACUUAGUAGUCGUGAAUAAAUCGAAAAUCAAAUUGCACUGGUUUUUACCGGUUAUCAACAAUUGUGAUGUUUUGAGAUUAUAACAUACUUGACAACGCCGACUAGCGUUCUCUCCUAUGUGAAUUGGGACAAAAAUUAUUUUCCCAAUCACGCUUUCGUUUGAACAAUUCCACUUCAGAUAUAUAAAAUAAUGAUGAAAUUGUGUUUUAAAAUUAGUUACGAGUAAUUGGUUCAAUAUUAAUACAAAACUAUUUUAAGUAACACGUGGCAUAUUCUAAUUCCAGUGAGCUUCUAACUCAGAUUCCCAAAUCAAAAGAAACGUUUCAAUUUUCUCCAGAACGUUCUGCAAAACAUUUCUUCGAGUCUCUACGUUGUGCUAGAAUUUUCUCUCAGUUUCUUUUCCAUAGACUUCUAAAAAACUGUCCAGAUACCGAGAUAUAAUCCAAUCUAAGUGUACAUAUUGUAAGAAAAACGAUACACAGUGAGAUAACAAUUUAAAUAGUAGCUAAUUUAAACAACAAUGUAAACUAGCAAUGGGAAACAACAAAUGAAGAACUGAAGAGAAAGGAGACCAAAACAGAAAUAUAAACCCGAGGCCUGCGGACAGUUUCCUUAAACAUAUUUACCCCCUCUUGGAGUGCUUUAGGUCAGCUGGUAUCUGUUUCCCAGGAUACAACAGGCACGAAUUUUCGGCUAAGCACAGGCUAGAAAUUCUGGCGAACCACAACAACGAGCUCGAUCAGAGAAAACAGACGACGAAGAUGGAGGAAGGAAAAUAAGUGUGCUGGUUUUUUCAGUGUGCAAAAAAACAGAAGAGGAGAUGCCUUUUUAUAGUCAUAUGAGGAUGUAACAGCUACUUUGUAUUGAAUUUCUGAAUUCAAUAUAUUUUAUUUAAUUGUUAUAACAGCCAAAUCAAUUCAAUGAAUUGAUUUCAAAAUUGAAUUAAAAAAAACGUGAAUUAUAUAACAGCUAAAAAUAAUUGUUGAAGCUGUUACAAAUCCUUUGAAUUCAAACGUGAAACUGUUACAAUAAAAAAAAUUUUAAAAGGAAAUUAAAAACAUGCCAAGCUUGCAUGGAUGAUUUUGGGCUGACAUUCGCGUACGCAGACGAGUUCAACCAAAUUGGUCAUGGAUUUGCACCCCCCUGCACACGCGCACGUGGAGAGAGCCUCUAUCCUUAUAAUUCUUGAACAAGCAUGGUUAAGUGUUUAUAUAUAAACACUAAUCCCUAGGCUUCUUUUUCCCAUGUGGGAUAAGCCUAAUUUCUUUUCAAAUUUCCAACUUCAAAGGUGAACUUUGAGAGACAAUUUCUCAUUCACCCAAGCACCAUUUUGAGAAAAUAAGAUUAUACUUUUGAAGUAUCAAAGGAGUAGAAUCCGAACCUCACAAGAUUUUCCACUUUCGUUAAGUGGGACCCACUCAAAAUAUGCCCUCAAAAUAGCAUCUAUAUAUGCUAUUUUUUCAACAAUCCCCCACAUGAAUGAAAAUUGGCAGUAAAACAAAAAACCGCUAUAUUUUUUUUACAUCAAAACCAUUUUUGACCUUAAUGAUUGAGUUUAUUGGAUUGAUACCUAGCACAUGAUAGGUUGGUGUUAUCCUUUUAACCUUCCCUUGUAAUAGUAUAAUUACUUUACUGGCUGAUCAGUAGACGCGAUGUCUUUGAACUGUGCGGCCGUUAGUGUAAACGAUCAUAUACUACACAUAGGUAUUUCUCCUAACACUGUUGAGUUCUCAUGGUUAUGUUCGUUUUGGCCUUGAACAUCUACCUGGUUCUGCAAGAGUUUCUAAGAGCUAAACCCAUCAUAGCUCCCUUUGAAGCGGCCCCACUUCUCUCUCACAUAGGUGAUAUCUUAAUUAAAAGUAACCCGCAUUACUCCGCUCGAAUUUUCCGACGCAUAAGAAUCAUUAAGAGCCUAGCUCAACCUUAUUCCCCACGAGCAUCAUUGUUUCAUAAUAUGAAUGGUCAAUGAGGUAAUCUUCUCAAGAGAAUAAACCCCACAAUAAUCCAACUUUAGUCUUUAACAAAUAGGUUGUUCAAUUGAACCUAGAUCUUGGGAUCUCCAGUCUACUAGGUUGGGUUUUCCUUCGUUAUUGACUAAUCAAUCUAUGAGUUUUAAUCCCAUUCCCCUCGAUGAUUUUUCUACUAGCUCUCUAUUUAACCCUUUGGUUAGCGAAUCCGCAAUGUUAUCCUUUGACCUCACAUAGUCAAUAGAAAUAACUCCAGUAGAAAUAAGUUGUCUAAUGGUAUUAUGUCUAUGACGUAUGUGUCUAGACUUACCAUUAUACAUAUUGCUUUGUGCCCUACCGAUAGCUGAUUGACUAUCACAAUGUAUACAAAUCGAAGGCACAUGCUUUGGCCACUUUGGAAUACCUUUUAAAAAAUUGCGUAGCCAUUCUGCUUCUUCACCACAUUUAUCUAAUGCAAUGAAUUCAGAUUCCAUUGUAGAUCUAGCAAUUACUGUCUGUUUAGAAGAUCUCCAUGAUACAGCUGCACCUGCUAGUGUAAAUACAUAGCCGCUAGUGGAUUUUGAAUCUUUUACAUCUGAUAUCCAGUUAGCAUCACUAAAUCCUUCUAAUACUUCUGGAUACCUAGUAUAGUGCAGUCCAUAAUUACGAGUGUAUCGAAGAUACCUAAGUACUCUUACGAUAGCUUUCCAGUGAUCAGUUCCUGGAUUACUCGUAUAUCUACUAAGUUUACUUACCGUAUAGGCUAGAUCUGGUCUGGUACAACUUGUUAAGUACAUCGGACUGUCUAUUAUUCUAGCAUAUUCUACUUGAGAAAAACCCUCUUCUCUAUUUUUCGAUAAAUGGAUACUAGUAUCUAAUGGAGUUUUAGACAUAAUAUUAUCAUUUUUAUUAAAUUUUCCAAGAAUUUUAUCUACAUAAUGAUUUUGACUUAGAAUAAGUCCAUUAGAAGCCCUUCAGAUUUUAAUUUCCAAAAUGACAUUUGCAAGACUCAUGUCUUUCAUGUCAAACUUAGACUUCAACAUAUUCUUGGUAGAUUUAAUCAUGUCAUCAUCACUUCCAACAAUGAGCAUGUCAUCAACAUAUAAACAUAAAAUGACAUAGCCAUUUUCCGUUUCUUUGACAUAAACACAUUUGUCACACUCGUUGAUUUUAAAACCACUUGUGAUCAUCAUAUGAUCAAAUUUCUCAUGCCACUGUUUCGGUGCUUGCUGCAAGCCAUAUAAUGACUUUACCAAUUUACAAACUUUCUUUUCUUGUCCUGGAGCUAUAAAACCUUCAAGUUGCUCCAUAUAGAUUUCUUCAUCUAAAUCUCCAUUUAGAAAAGCCGUCUUUACAUCUAUUUGAUGUAUCUCGAGAUUGCGCAAAGCUGCAAUUGCUAUUAUCAUCCGUAUGGAAUUUAUUCUCAUAACAGGAGAAUAAGUAUCAAAGUAAUCAAGGCCUUCUCGUUGCCUAUUACCUUUAAUUACAAGCCUAUCCUUGUAUUUAUUGAUUUAUCCAUCAGCUUUCAUUUUCCUUUUGAAAAUUCACUUAUACCCCAAAGGUUUACAUUCUGGAGGAAGAUCUGCUAGCUCCCAAGUAUGAUUUUGUAAAAUGGAUUCAACUUCACUGUUAAUGGCUUCUUUCCAUAAAGUGCCUUCAGCUGAAGUUACAACCUCUUUGAAGCUUUGAGGUUCACUUUCUAGCAAAUACGUCAGAAAGUCUAGACCAAAAGACUUUUCUAUCCUAGCUGUUUUGCUACGUCUAACCUCAAUUUCUUGUUCUUGAUCUUCUUCUUCUUCUUCUUCUGGUGCUUCAUCAUUUUCUUCAUUUCCAAGUGUUGUUUCAUGAAAUUGUCGCAAUUCUCUCGAUUCCACUCUAGAAUUGCAAGGAAACACAUGUUCGAAUGAUGCAUUUCUUGAUUCUAUUAUCAUAUUUUUGUGGACAUCUGGAACUUUAGACUUAUGUAACAAAAAUCGAUAAGCACUACUGUUUUGUACAUAACCAAUGAAAAUGCAGUCAACAGUUUUUGGUCCUAUUUUCACUUUUUUAUUGAAGGAACCACUACUUUAGUAAGACACCCCCACACUCGUAAGAAUUUAUAUGAAGGUGAUCUAUUUUUCUAUAGCUCAUACAGGGUUUUAUCUUCUUGCUUUCAGGGUAUCUUAUUUAAUAAAUAAUUAGCUGACAAAACAGCUUCUCCCCACAUAUUCUGGGGUAACCCAGAACUUAUCAACAUUGCAUUCAUCAUUUCCUUUAAAGUUCGAUUCUUUCGUUCUGCAAUCCCAUUAGAUUGAGGUGAAUAUGGAGUCGUGACUUGAUGUAUGAUUCCAUUUUGUUCACAUAGUGACAUAAACAUAACAACAUACUCACCACCACGGUCACUCCUUAAUUCUUUGAUUUUUCUAUUAAGUUGAUUCUCAACUUCAUUUUUGUCGAGAAUAAACUUUUUCAAAGCUUUAUCUUUACUUUUCAAUAAAUAUACAUAGCAAUAUUUUGUGCAAUCAUCUAUAAAGGUAAUAAAAUAUUUAUUAUCACCUCUUGUUUGAAUGGAUUUAAAGUGACAAAUAUCAAUAUGUAUUAAAUCAAGUGGUUCGGUGUUUCUGUUAAUUAUUUGGAAAGAUGACCUAGUUAGUUUUGCCUCAACACAAGUUUCACACUUAUGUUUCAAAUCAAUUUGGAAAUUGGGAAUAUGCUUCAUGUUAAUUAAUUUACGCAAAGAUUUAAAAUUAACAUGUCCUAAUCUACCAUGCCAAAGAUUAGAAGACUCAAGCAAAUAAGCAGAAGAAGUAGCUUUAUUAUUAAUUAUUGGUUUCAGAGUCAUUACAUUGAGCUUAAAUAGCCCAUCAUUAACAUAACUCUUUCCCACAUACAUCCCAUUUUUAGACAAAACUACCCUAUCUGACUCAAACACCAUUUGGAAGCCAUGUUUGUUCAACAGCGAUCCAGACACCAAGUUCUUCUGAAUUUCUGGCACAUAAAACACAUUGUUCAGAGUCAGUUCUUUCCCAGACGUCAUCUUCAAAAUCACCUUCCCUUGACCAUCAAUCUCAGACGUAGCCGAAUUCCCCAUGAAUAGCUUCUCUCCAUUGCUAACUGCUUCAACUGAAGUGAACAAUCCUUUGUCCGAGCAAACAUGUCUGGUUGCUCCCGUAUCAAUCCAUCAUUCUCUCGGAUUAUAGCCAACCAGAUUCACUUCUGAAACCACUGUAGAGAGGUUUAUGUCUGAAACAUGUUGAGUGAUGUUUUCCAUCACAUUCUCCUCUCGCUUCUUUUUAGGCAACCUGCAAUAUGAAGCAUUGUGACCCAUCUUAUCACAAUUAAAACAUUUUCCUUGAAACUUUGUUUACUUCUUGGAAAUUCCUCCUUUCGGACCCAUUUUUUUAUUUUUAUUUUUAGGUCCAUGUUCGACAAAAUUUGCCUUUGCCAUAGAAAUAACUCCUUUUCUUUUUGCAUUUCUGUUAUCUCCCUCAAUUCUGAACUUAACAACCAGCCCUUCAAUAUUCAUCUCCUUUCAUUUGUGCUUCAAAUAGCUCUUGAAAUCUUUCUAAGCAGGAGGCAAUUUUUCAAUAAUUGCGGCAACUUGAAAAGUUUCACUUAGAUGCAUCCUUUCUGCAAGGAUUUCAGAUAAUAUAAUUUGAAGCUCUUGUACUUGACUUAUUAUAGUUUUAGAAUCCACCAUUUUAUAAUCUAGGAAGCGACCAACAACAAACUUUUUGGUUCCCGCAUCCUCGGUUUUAUAUUUCCGGUCAAAGGAUACCCAUAACUCCUUGGCUGUUUUCUUUCCUAUGUAUACAUUAUACAAGGAAUCACUAAGGCCAUUCAUUACAUAAUUUUUACAUAAAAAAUCUUAAUGAUGCCAUGCAUCAAUUGCACUUGCAACUUGAAUAUCCGUUUCACCCUCUUUAGGUUUAGGAGCAUUCUCGAUUAAGAAACUUGCAAGGUUCAACAUGGUCAAGUAAAAGAAUAUCUUUUGCUGCCAACGUUUGAAAUUCUGGCCAUUGAAUUUUUCAGGCCCUUCCGCAUGAUUGACAGGAAUUGCCACAGAGGCUGGUUCCUUUACAACAGUUGGUGCAGCAACAGAAGAUGAAACUGGGACAUACGGAAUAUCAUCAAUGGUUUCAGUUGCCAUCUCAAUGAUAAUUGAUUCUGUUUUAAGAUUGUAAAAAAAAUGAUACACAGUGAGAUAAUAAUUUAAAUAGUAGCUAAUUUAAACAACAAUGUAAACUAGCAAUGGGAAACAACAAAUGAAGAACAGAAGAGAAAGGAAACCGAAACAGAAACAGAAACAUAAACCUGAGCCCUGCAGACAGUUUCCUUAAAACAGAUUUACCACUCUUGGAGUGCUUUAGGUCAGCUGGUAUCUGUUUCCCAGAAUACAACGGGCACGAAUUUCCGGCUAAGCACAGGCUGAAAAUUCCGGCGAACCACAACAGCGAGCUCAAUCAGAGAAAACAGACGAUGAAGAUAGAGGAAGGAAAACAAGUGUGCUGGUUUUUUCAGUGUGCAAAAAACAGAAGAGGAGGUGCCUUUUUAUAGUCAUAUGAGGAUGUAACAGCUGCUUUGUAUUAGAUUUCCGAAUUCAAUAUGUUUUACUUAAUUGUUAUAACAACCAAAUCAAUUCAUUGAAUUGAUUUUAAAAUUGAAUUAAAAAAACAUGAAUUAUAUAACAGCUAAAAAUAAUUGUUGAAGCUGUUACAAAUCCUUUGAAUUCAAAACGUGAAUCUAUUACAAUAAAAAAAUUCAAAAGGAAAUUAAAAACGUGCCAAGCUUGCAUGGAUGAUUUUGGGCUGACAUUCGCGUACGCAGACGAGUUCAACCAAAUCGGUCUUGGACUUGCACCCCCCCUGCACACGCACGUGUGGAGAGAGCCUCUAUCCUUAUAAUUCUUGAACAAGCAUGGUUAAGUGUUUAUAUAUAAAUACUAAUCCCUAGGCUUCUUUUUCCCAUGUGGGAUAGGCCUCAUUUCCCUUCAAAUUUCCAACUUCAAAGGUGAACUUUGAGAGACAAUUUCUCAUUCACCCAAGCACCAUUUUGAGAAAAUAAGAUUAUACUUUUGAAGUAUCAAUGGAGUAGAAUCCGAACCUCACAAGAUUUUCCACUUUCGUUAAGUGGGACCCACUCAAAAUAUGCCCUCAAAAUAGCAUAUAUACAUGCUAUUUUCCACUUUCGUUAAGUGGGACCCACUCAAAAUGUGCCCUCAAAAUAGCAUAUAUACAUGCUAUUUUUUCAACACAUAUCUCUCUAUGUCACCUCCCUCCAUUUCACCAGAAAAUCAACAAACACUUAGCUUCAAAACAAACACUCUAAAAAAGCUAGCUAGUUGAUGGCAAAAUCAAGAAUUCUUGCAAUGGCAAUGUUGUUUCUUGUUAUGGCAGCAACAUUGAUGAACAUGGCAUCAAAGCAAAUGCUCUGAUGCUGUACACACGAUCACCUUUCUUUGACGUAAUGUUCCCAAUGACGGAAGAUCCUUUCAGGGUUCUUGGACAAACCCUGUUAACAAUCCCAAAAGGAGCUGAACAUCAUCAAACUCUAGCACUGGCGAGAGCAAACUGAAAUGAGACACCAACAUCACACGUGAUCACACUCGACAUUCCAAGGAUGAAGAAAGACGAUGCGAAGAUAGCAGUUGAAGAGAACAGGGUACUGAGGGUGAGUGGGGAGAGGAAGAGCGAUGAUUAUUAUAAGGAGGAAGUUGAAGGAGAAAAAUGGCACAGAGUUGAGAGACCAUUUGGCAAGGUUUGGAGGCAGUUCAGGAUGCCUAUGAGUGCUGACUUGGAUCAUGUUAAGGCUCAUUUGGAAAAUGGUGUUCUAAGGAUCACAGUGCCAAAACUUGUUGAGGAGAAGAAGAGGCCGCCUAAGGUUAUUAACAUUGAUGAAGAGCCUGGUAAUUCUUCCGAUGAAGAUGUUAAGGCCGCCAAGGCUCAAAUGUAAUUGAUUAAAGAAAGAAGUGUUUGAUUUGCUUGAUGUGCUAUUUGUUUUGUGAUCUUUUCUUGGUUUUGUUGUGGGAUGUUUUUCUUUGGAUGUUCUGUUUAUUGUAUUUUGAUGGAUUUUUAAAGAUGGCUUUUAUGUAUUAACAACAAUAAAGUGUUUUUUAUAAAUCCGGGUCCUAAAUUUGUAAAAGAAAUUAAUAAUACUCUUGGUUUAUUGUUAAUAAAAAUAAAAAAGAAGAAUCUUUUUCUUUAGCAUAUAUUAUGCAUUUUAAGGAAAAAAAAAAUUAUCACAUUCUAAUACAUAAAGAUAUUCCUCUUCUGUCAUAUUAAUGUGUUAAUACGAAGGUCUAUUGGAAUUAUAAUAGUUUAGAUGAAUCCAAAAUAUUCAAUAAUUGAUAAAUAGUAUAUUGACACACAGAAAAUGUGCGUGUGUAUGUAUAUAAAUGAGGUUUCAACAGCUGAGAAAGAGAUAGCCAUUAUACAUUACACAUUUGCACUCAAUAAGAAAUCAAUUCAUUAAUAUAGCCAUUAAUACGCCUGGUUUAUUGUUAAUGAAAAUUAAAAAAGAAAAAAAGUCUUUUCUUUGGCCUUUAUUAUGCAUUUUAAGAGGAAAAAAAAUUUAUCCCACUCCAAUUCAUGAAGAUAUUCUCUUUUCUGUCAUAUUGAUGUGUUAAUAUGAAGAUCCAUUGCAGUUGGUGAAUUCAAAUAUUCAGUAACUGAUGAAAUUGUAUUUAUAAAUUCAUACUAAUAGCAAUUGAAGAUUAUAAUUAAUUUUGUAAUAUGGUCUAGCCCUCCUGUGUUUAAUUAGCACUCAAAAACCACUUUACAAUAGGGCAUUAAAAGAACAUUAUAACGUCAUUGCUGAUGAGUUCUGGCGAAGACAUUAAGUUAAGGCCACAAAAAUCGAAAUGCACGUAGCUUCGUUUGUUUUUUAUUUUUGAUUCUCUUUGGGGGCAAAUGCUUGGCUUCGUUUGCUUUUUCGUUUUUGAUAUUUUAUUGGGCUUUAUUGUGUGGCAUCUUCUUGUUUUCUUUUGAUUUUCUGUUUUGGUUGUUAUGGGAUUUGAUGACGACGUACAUGUACGAAGAUUAUAUAAUAAAAUGUUUUUGAUAAAUUAUGGUCGGUUUAGAAUUAAUUAACUAAAUUUAAUUUACUUGAUCAAUUGAUAUUUGUAAGCAUUGUUGUUAUACAAACACAACAAAAGAAGAACAUUAAUGUACUAAUUAAUUACUAAUAAGAACAUUAAUAACUUUUGCCGAAGAAGAGAAAUAUUACACAUAUGUAACCGUGCAGCAUAUGUAACCGUGCAGCUAAAUAAAAGAAACUGAAGUUUAUUUCAACAGCUAAAGAAUGAGAUACGCAUAAGAAAUUAAUCCAUUAAUUAAUUAAUUAAUUCAUAGUCCCCCGCUGCUAAAAUAAAGCGAGCGUCUUACUCUACCUAACAUUUUUCCUUUUAUUAAUUUAAAAUAGUUUUCAACUGAGAUUUGAAUUUUAAAAUUACACGCUUGAUUUAGAAGAAAAAAAAGUCAAAUAUAUGUAACCGUACCGCGGAAAAGACAAAUAUAAGAAACUGAAGUUUCAACAGCUGAGAAUGAGAAAUUAAUUCAUUAAUUAAUUAAUAGAGUCCUCCUUUGCUAAAUAAUGCGAACCCAUUGUUCUUUUUAUUUCCAAAACCCAUUAAUCACCAACACAUAAUACACGCCCAAUUUAAAAAAAAAACUAAUAAUAAAAUAUUUCAGUCUUCCUUUGUUGAGUCGUCAUUAAAAACCCAUUUACCAGCUAUUCGAGCAUAAGGUAUAUGGGUUAACAAGUCCCAAUAUUGUCCUCCAUCCUUUCUGCACUUCUCUUCUAUCAACGGACAGCGAUAGAUUCUUAAUUGCAAAAGUGAGGAAGGCAGGCCCUUCUCCGGAAAGUAUUUGAGCUUGGGACAAUCAUAGAGUGUCAAUUUAGUGAGGUUUUGAAGAUCAACAAUUGAAGAAGAUAGGCUUUCCAGAUUUGGAAAAAAGGCAAUGCUCAGAGAUGUUAGAGAGGCAGGAAGAGGAAGCGUGGUCCCCAGUCUUCUGUCCUCUGGCUCUGGUGGAAAUGACACCAUGUCGUCAUCGCAUCCUCUGAUUAAAAGAUAUCGCAGAGAGGAGAAUCUGUGAAAUCCCCGGCCCCGCUCAAUCAUUGACUUCCAAAUCCCCAUAUUACCCUCAAUCCUCAGUGAAUGAAGGUUGGUGGGAAGGCCAUCUUCUUCAAGGCUUGGAAGCUCACCUCCUAUUAUUGUUAAUUGUUGAAGAGAGGUCAGAUUGUGCAAUCCCUUGGGUAAGGCCUCUAGUCUCUUACAAUCAUAUAUCUCCAGCCUCCUGAGUUUCGCACAAGGCAAUCCCCCUUUGGGAAAGGACUCCAGAUUUCCACAACCCCCAAUACCAAUCUGUUGAAGCUGGCACAGAUUAUGUAAACCACUCGAUAAAAUUUUCAGAUUUUCACAGUUAGAAAUGUUGAUUGUUUCAAGAGAUGUGUUGUUGUCCAACCUUUCUGCUAUUGACUGCAGCUUUGGACAUCCAUAAACAUCAAGUACCUUAACGGACGGAGGUAGAUUGCCAACUUCAAGGGACUCAAGCGUGGCAGGUAACUCGUUUUUUGAAAAUAUACAUGUCAGAGACGGACAACUGGAAAUUGCUAAGUUCUCAAGAAGAGAUGAGGUGUACCUUCUGCUGCUGCUACUCUGGAUGCCCUCUUCCACUGUCAAAGUCCUUAUUUUAUUGCACCUCUGGAUGUCCAACCUCUUAAGGCUCAGUGGUAGCUGGACUUCAGCAAUAUAUGUCAACGAAUGGCAAUCCCAAAUUUUCAAGAUCUCGAGAGAUGAACUAGUGUCGCACAUCCAUGGCUCUGGUAACGAUUUCAGUGCAUCACAUUCUCUAAUCUCAAUUUUCUUCAACUUGGAAGGCAGAGCAACCUCAGGAAAGGAAACAAGGGAACUGCACUUGUAGAUUUCUAUCUCUUUCAAGGAACUAAGGCUGAGAGAUGAUUGUGGCAGCUUCACAAGGCCUUCGCAAUAUCUCAAUCUUAGAUAUUCGAGUCUGCAUGACAACUCGCAGAGCUGCUGUUGUUGGUCUUUCUCUUCCUCCGCCACCAAGGAUUGAAGUUUGGGACACCCUCUUAUCUCCAGACUUUUGAGAGAGCAAAUGUCUUGUAGUAAUCCGUCAUGACUCUUCCAUAUAUAUGUUUGCUCUUUUGUCGACAAAAUUAAUUCUUCCAAUUUCGGUAGUUGUGGCUUCAACGGCCCCGCAAGAAACACUUGAUUUGAUGUAUCUCUACAAACCACUGAAUUCUGUGAUCCGAGAUGACCAGUUGCACUUUCCCACACAACCUUUUUGCAUCCACCAAUUAAGAAUUUGCAAAGAGUUGGAAGACUCAAAACUGAAACUAACAAUUCUUCACAUCCUUCAAUAACAAGCAUCUCUAAUACAGGAAGGUGUUCUGGAAAUGUUCCUCGCAGUUUAGGACAUUCUAAAAUGUGAAGCUCUCUCAAUUUAGGAAACCCUUCAACCCCUUGACCGGAUCCAUGAGAAAUCCAGACUUCCCAUUCUUGCAGGUCUUCAAAACGAAGAGUCUCCAAGCAUGGAAAUGGAAUUGGAGAGUCAUCCCCAUAGAACUCUGAACCCAAUCUCUUUACUCUACUCACUCCACGCACUGUAAGAUGCUUUAGAGAGGGCAGUUGCCCGACAGACGGCAGGGCAGUACACAUGCCGCAAUCUUCAAAUUCAAGUGUUACUAAAUUUGAGAAUAAGGAAUCUCCUAACCAUGUUGGAAAUUUUGUACCUCCAUAGCCACAGAUACCAAAUUGUUCCAGAUUUUUAUGGGGUUUGAGCAUGUCAAGCACACCCAUUUCAGUUUCUGCCUCCCUUGAAGAUGAACCAUCGGUACUGCGUGUCCAUCGAAGCAAUAAUUCUUUAAGAUUCUUCUUUCCAUCCAACCGAGCCUCCUUCGCAUUACCAACGUCUUUUACGUUCUCCAAUUUUGAAAUUUCAAGUGCCCCACGAAGAUGCAUCAACAACUUUAGCUCUGAUAACCCCGAACCACUGUCUUUUCCCACAACAAAAUUACACAACGUCUGAAGACAAGUCAACUUGCCAAUUCCUAGUGGCGUUUCCUCCAACGAAUCUGUAUUUGAAUUAUUGAGAUGAUGCAAUUUGAUGAGAUUUCCCAUGUCUGCACACAACUUCUUCAGCCGAUCACAAUCUUCCAACAAAAGACUAUGCAAAUUGUAAAGCUUGUUGACUGAUUCAGGCAGAGUUCUAAUAUUAGUUCCAGACAGGUUAAGGUACCUUCAAUACCUCAAAUCACCAACUGAAUCUGGUAGCUCGGAGAUGUGAUAUCCACGCAAAGAGAAGACCCUCAAGCGUUGGAGUUUGAGCAACUUAGGAAGAAUGCUAGGAGCCAAGUAGCCAGGCGAACUCUCUGUCAACAUUACUGGUAAAAAAGUUCUCAAAUGUUGGAUAUCAUACAAGUCCCCAAACCUUUUACCGCCAACAUAAUAUUCAGGAAUAUAUGACAGAUGACGAAGAUAUCGGGAAAAACUUUGUUGCUUGUUAACCUCAGAGGUAUACUCCAUUGUGAAGUAUAUUUCCCCUGCAGCCCAAUGCGCAAGGUCGUUGAUAAGAUCGUGCAUCACAAAUCGUGAUGCAUCGUUGCUUGAUUGCUGGAAAAAGGAUCUUGAAUGUAGCUCCUUAAAGAUUUCAAGACCUAAAUCUUCACCAGUUUUCUCACGCUCUUUGCGAUCCAAGAAGCCCGAGGCACACCAUAACAAAAUUAUCUCCCCCUCUUCAAAUUCAUAAUCCUUUGGAAACAAUGAGCAAUACGCAAAGCAUUGUUUCAAAGGUGCCGAAAGAUAAUAGUAGCUCACUCUAAGCGCCGGCAUAAUGUCACAUCUCUCUUCUUGCAAUUCCCAUAUCUUGGUACUGAGCACUCUCUCCCAAUCACAUCUGUCAUCUUUUCCUCGCAAAAGUCCUCCAAGUGUUUGCGCUGCCAAGGGCAAGCCAUCGCAUUUGGCCACUAUCUUCUUGCCAAUUUCCUCCAAUAAGUUAUCUGACCCCAAAGAAUGUUGAGCAAAUACAGCUAGACAAUCAUCAAUUGACAACUUUUUUAAUUGAUAAGCUGAGGCAGUUCCCAUGAUGUCUGCAACCUCUUGAUUACGAGUUGUGACAAUAAUCUUACUUCCCUUCGCUCCAGCUUCAAACGGACGGCUGAGGCGAACCCAAUCAUUGUAAUUCUCAUUCCAAACGUCGUCUAAAACAAGCAAAAAUUUCUUUUGAGAUAACUUCUUCUUCAGCUCCUCUUGAAGCAAAUUUAAAUCACUGUCAUCAAUAGUCUGCUUGGUAACGGAUCUUAGAAUUGUUUUUGUUAGCCCCUUAACGUCGAAAUCCUCAGAGACACAAGUCCAUGCCUUGAGAUCAAAAUGAUCCCGCACUUGCUUAUCAUUGUAGACAAGCUGAGCAAGAGUAGUUUUGCCCAGCCCGCCCAUACCUAUAAUAGGAAUAACUGCGAAUCCACCAUCGUUGCUUAAAUCAUCCCUCAACAGCAGUUCAACAACAUCCUUCUUUUCUGUUUCCCUGCCAUAUACUUUGGCUUCAGUCACUAAAGAGGUUGUCUCUAGCCUUUGACUGGCUUUUUUGGACCCUCCAGCUGAACUUUCUUUCAAAUCUAGCAAGUUUUUCUGUGUCACAAUUUCUUGAAAUCUGCUGUUGAUCUCUUUGAUUUUGGACAUCAAGCCAUAAUCGAACUGAAUCGAUUGUGGAGUAAAAGUGGUGCAGCAAGUAGGAAUGAGCUUCCGAAACUUACUUGUUCUUGUACGACUGCUACUGGGUUGAUCAUGAGCAGCAGCUGGUUCUCCAUUCCCAAGCAGCAACCUCCUCCGGAAAGCCUCAGUUUGAAACUCAUCCAACAAGUCUUCAACAUCGUAAGCCAAGUUCUGAAGCUUGCCAAGCCACUUCUUCACAAACUGAUUAGUCGUCUUCUUCUCCUCAGCAUCAUCAAGCACCGCCUUGAUCAUCUCCAACAUAUUCUCCCACUUCAUUAGAUCGUCUUGGAUCUUCUCUUGGCGUGCAAAAAACAGAAUCCCCUCUGAAGCUAACUUAUUGACCAGCAAAUCAACGGACGCCGUAAGGAUUGCCUCUCCGAUGAUCGACAUUUUUUUUUCUUUUUUUGGGCAAAGGAAGAAAGGAGCAGAAUUAUGGGUUAUGGAAAGCAGAAUGAGAAUAUUGAACGGGUGAGAAAAUGGAUAAUUAAGCGGAAUGAGUUUGUGAUUGUGAAGGGUCUGGUUCAGCAAGCUUAGUAGAAAUCACGCGUUUGUACUUUAUUGACCAAUGACUAAAUAAUUUGGCAAUGCACCCACCACCACCAGUUGGCGAGCAAAAUGAAAAAGUUUAAUAAGUGCAGGGGUCGAGCAAAAUACGACGUAAAAUGUGGCAAGUCUCCCCACUUGUUGUUCCUUGCAGCUAAGAAAAGAAAAAACAGAGCCCACCACCCAUUAAUAAUUUAGCAAUUCACCAAUCAUCACAAAAUUCCAUUAGAUAUUCGUCGAUCAAGUAGUUAAGUAUUUUUGCUAGAAUGAAUGCAACCAAGAUUCUAUGGGAUAUGUAUGAAGAUGAUGUAAUAAAGUGCUUUUGAUAUAUUCCCCUAGUCGGUUUACUUCACUAACCAUUAACGAGCAAAUCCUCCCAAUGACCCUCAAUACUCUUGUGCACAAUUAAAAUAAUUUCAAUUAUAUAUAUAUAUAAAUAAAAAAACUCUCAAAUAUAUUAUUUGAUAAUCACCAAAAAAAAAAAAAUUCACCCCAAUAAAUCACAUUACAGUCUAUGUUGCAAGUGUUUUUAGGACUAAUUCAAAGAGAAAAUGCGAAGGACAUGUAAUUGAAUUUGGGACACUGAAUAUAUUCCCAAUUACCCUUUAGUGUAAAUAGUUCCACUUCAGAUAUAUAUAAUGAUGAUGAAAUUUUGUUUUCUCAUAGCAAUCAUUCUAGUGUUUUACAAUGAGUAAUUGAUUCAAUAUUAACACAACACUAUUUUAACAUGUGACAUAUUCUAUCAUAGUGUGCUUCAACUCAGACUUCUAAGUUUCCAUUUUAGAACAAGUUAAAACAGUUCCAACUCAAAAUCAGUAGUGCGCAAUUGGGUUGUUAUAAAUAUUUCUAAAUUUUAGUCUAAUUUGAAUUAUUUAAUUGUGUUUGUACAAACUAGCUUUAUCACUUCUUUUAUAUUGAUACCCUUAAAUUUCAACCUUAUUUUAUGUUGAUGCACAAUCUAACUUAACAAAAAUAAUAUUCAAAUUGUCACAAUUUUUUUUUUUAAAAAAAAUAUACAAAGUUAAUUUUUCUUCUUCUUUACUCUAGGAUCCAGCUCCAUACCCCUCUUUUUUGUCGUUAUGCUACUCAGCCGUUAGAUUUUAAUUACGUUAAUCUAAUGGUUGGGAUUUGCAAAUGAAUAAUGAAGUGGUGUUCGGCUACUAUCCGAGGCCAUUGCAUCUAAUUGGUUUUGUGAUUUUUCACUUUCUUCCCUGUAACACUUGACUAGUUCUGGAAAUUGCUUUUUGGCAUGCUAAUUGUUGUGAAAAUUUUAAUAUACUCGCAAGCGCACGAAUCUAGAAAUAAAAUAGUGGUAACGAGGUCGAUCCCACAGGGAUUGGCACCCAUCACGCCUUUAGUUGUCGUGAAUAAAUCGAAAAUCAAAUUGAACUGGUUUUUACCGGGUAGCAACAAUCGUGACGUUUUGAGAUUAUAAUAUAUGACAACACUGAUUAGUGUUGUCUCCCAUGUGAAUUGAGACAAAAAUGAUUUUCCCAAUUGCGCUUUCAUUUGAACAAUUCCACUGUAGAUUUAUAAAAUAAUCACGAAAUUGUGUUUUAUAAUAAGUUACGAGUAAUUGGUUCAAUAUUAAUACAAAACUACUUUAAGUAACACGUGGCAUAUUCUAAUUCUAGCAAAGUUUCCAACUAAGAUUCCCAAAUCAAAAGAAUUUCAAUCUCCAGAACAUUCUACAAAAUGUUUCUUCUAGCCUCUACGUUGUGCUAGAAUUUUCUCUUGAGUUUUUUAGCAAAGACUUCUAAAGAACUAUCCAGAUAUCGAGCUAUAAUCCAGUCAAAGUGUAUAUAUUUCUCUAAUUCACCUCCCUCCAUUUCACCAGAAAACCAACAAACACUUAGCUUCAAACAAACACUUUCAAAUAGCUAGCUAGCUACCCAGAUGGCAAAAUCAAGAAUUCUUGCAAUGACAAUGUUGUUUCUUGUUGUGGCGGCAACAUUGAUGAACAUGGCAUCACAAGCAAAUGCUCUGAUGCCGUACACACGAUCACCUUUCUUUGACAUGAUGUUCCGAAUGACGAAAGAGCCUUUCAGGGUUCUUGAACAAACCCCUUUAACAAUCGCAAAAGGAGCUGAUCAUCAUCAAACUCUAGCCCUGGCGAGAGCAGACUAGAAGGAGAGUGGAUGGAGCCUUUACUUUCUAUUAUAUUUGUAAAGCGUGCCACAACACACGUGAUCACACUCGACAUUCUCGGAAUUAAGAAAGAUGAUGUGAAGAUUGAAGUUGAAUAGAACAGGGUAUUGAGAGUAAGUGGGCAGAGGAAGGCUGAUGAUUAUUAUAAGGAGAGGGUUGAAGGAGAGAAAUGGCACAGAGCUAAGAGAGCAUUUGGCAAGUUUUGGAGGCAGUUUAGGAUGCCAAUGAGUGCUUGACUUGGAUCAUAUUAAGGCUCACUGAGUGCCAAAGCUUGCUGAGGAGAUGAAGAGGCAGCCGAAGGCUAUUAACAUUGAUGAAGAGUCUGGUAAUUCUUCCAAUGAAGAUAUUAAGGCUACCAAGGCUCAAAUGUAAUUGAUUAAAGAAAGAAGUGAUUGCUUUGCUUGAUGUGCUAUUUGUUUAUGAUCUUUUUUUGGUUUUGUUGUGAGAUGUUUCUCUAUGGACGCUUUGUUUAAUGUAUUUUGAUGGGUUUUUUAGGAUGGCUUGUAUGUAUUGACAACAAUAAAGUGCUUUUUAUAAAUCCUAGUCCUACAACACUAAAAGAAAUUAAUACUCUUGGUUUAUAAUUAAUAAAAAUAUAUAUUUUUUUUAAAAGUCUUUUUCUUUGGCAUAUAGUAUGCGUUUUGAGGGGAAAAAAAUUUAUCCCACUCCUAAUUCGUCCUCUUCUGUGAUAUUAAUGUGUUAACACGAAGAUUCAUUGUAAUUGCAACAAUUUUGACGAAUCCAAACGUUCAAUAACUGUUAAAUUGUAUUUAUAAAUACUAAUAGCGAAGGUACAGAAACGAUUAAUUCAAGAAGUUGCUUAAAGUGCAUUAAAUUAGGGAGUAUAAAUAAUUGUGUGAUACAGUCCAGCCUUCAUCUGCUUAUAAUUAGCAACCAAAAACCACUUUGCAACACCAUUAAAAAAACAUUUUAACAUUAUUGCUGAGGGAAGAGGCAACUUAGGCUUAUUAACUCGUAUUAUUAAUGCUGAUGACGCAGCUGGUAAUCCUUUUGGUGAAUAUAUUAAGGCAGCUGAAGCUUAAAAUUAAUUAAGCCCACUAAAGCUUAAAACUAAUUCUUCUAGUGACGAUGCUUUGCUUAGUUCGCUUUUUGUUUUUAAUUUUUUUGGGGCUAACGUUUUGCUUAUUUUGCUUUUAAAAUUCUAUUGGCGUUGCUGUGGAAUAUUGUUUCUCCUUCGAUUUUCUGUUUUUGUUGUUAUCGGAUUUGAUGAUGGUUUAUAUGUACGAAGAUUAUGUAAUAAAGUGCUUUUGUAACAAUAUAUAUAUAUAUAUAUAUAUAGAUGUUUCAACAGCUAAGAAAGAGAUAGCCAUUAUACAUUACACAUUUGUACUCAAUAAGAAAUCAAUUCAUUAAUAUAGCCAUUAAUACGCCUGGUUUAUUGUUAAUGAAAAUUAAAAAAGAAAAAAAAAUCUUUUUCUUUGGCCUUUAGUAUGCAUUUUAAGAGGAAAAAAAAUUUAUCCCACUUCAAUUCAUGAAGAUAUUUUCAUUUCUGUCAUAUUGAUGUGUUAAUAUGAAGAUCCAUUGCAGUUGGUGAAUUCAAAUAUUCAGUAACUGAUGAAAUUAUAUUUAUAAAUUCAUACUAAUAACGAUUGAAGAUUAUAAUUAAUUUUUUAAUAUGGUCCAGCCCUCGUGUGUUUAAUUAGCUCUCAAAAACCACUAAGGUAAAGGCAAAAUCAUGAUAAAUUGUGGUCGGUUUAAUUUACUUGAUCAAUUGAUAUUGGGUAGCAUUGUUCUUAUACAAACACAAUAAAAGAAGAACACUAACGUACUAAUUAAUUACAAAUAAGAACAUUAACAAUUUUGCCGAAGUCUGAUGAAGAGAAAUAUUACACAUAUGUAACCGUACAACUAAAUAAAAGAAACUGAAGUUUAUUUCAACAGCUAAGAAUGAGAUACGCAUAAGAAAUUAAUCUAUUAAUUAAUUAAUUAAUUCAUACAAUUUUCAACUGAGAUUUGAAUUUUAAAAUUACAUACACAAACACACCUGAUUUAAAAGAAAAAAAUUUUAAUAAUAAAAUAUUUUACGUAUGUAACCAUACCGCGGAAAGAACAAAUGUAAGAAACUGAAGUUUCAACAGUUGAGAAUGAGAUAGGCAUAAGAAAUUAAUUAAUUAAUUAAUAGAGUCCUCCUCCUUUGCUAAAUAAUGCGAGCCCAUUGUUCCUUUUAUUUCGAAAACCCAUUAAUCAUCAACACAUACACGCCCAAUUUUAAAAAAAAAAAAUAAUAAUAAUAAAAUAUUUAAGUCGUCCUCUGUUCAAUAAUCAAAAACCCAUUUAAAAUCUAUUUUAACUUUAGGUAUAUGGGUUAACAAGUCCCAAUAUUGUCCUCCAUCUUUUCUGCACUUCUCUGCUAUCAACGGACAUCCCCCGAUGUAUAAUUGCAAAAGUGAGGAAGGCAGGCCCUUCUCCGGAAAGUAUUUGAGCUUGGGACAAUCCUCGAGUUCCAAGUGAGUGAGGUUUUGAAGAUCAACAAUUGAAGAAGAUAGGCGUUCCAGAUUUGGAAAAUUACCAAUCAUCAGGGAUGCUAGACAGGCAGGAAGAGGAAGCGUGGUCCUCAAUCUUAUGUCCUCCGGUGGGAAUGACACCAUGUCGUCAUCGCAUCCGCUGAUUGUAAGUUGUCGCAGAGAGGAGAAUCUGUGGAAUCCCCGACCCCACUCAAUCGUUGACUUCCAAAUCUUCUUAUUAUCAAUAAUCUCCAGCCUAUGAAGGUUGGUGGGAAGGCCAUCAUCUUCUUCAAGGCUUGGAAGCUCACCUCCUUCUCCUAUUGUUAAUUGUUGAAGAGAGGUCAGAUUGUGCAAUCCCUUGGGUAAGACCUGUAGUCUCUUACAAUAAGAUAUCUCUAGCCUCGUGAGUUUCGCACAAGGCAAUCCCCCUUGGGGAAAGGACACCAGAUUUUCACAUUCCCAUAUCCCUAUCUCUUGAAGCUGGCGGAGAUUAUGUAAACCACUCGGUAAAAUUUUCAGAUUUUCACACUCAGAAAUACUGAUUGUUUCAAGAGAUGUGUUGUUGUCCAACCUUUCUGCUAUUGACUCCAGCUCUGAACAACUCCAAACAUCAAGGGACUUAAGAGACGGAGGUAGAUUGCCAACUUCAAGGGACUCAAGCGUGGCAGGUAACUCGUUUUUUGAAAAUAUACACGUCAGUGACGGACACCUGCUAAUAUGCAAGCCCUCGAGAAGAGAUGAGGUGUACCUUCUGCUGCUGCUGCUGCUCUGGAUGCCCUCUUCCACCGUCAAAGUCCUUAUAUUAUCGCAAUGGCGGAUCUCCAACCACUUAAGGCUCGGUGGUAGUUGGACUCCAGCAAUAUAUGUCAACGAAUUGCAAAUCCAAAUCUCCAAGAUCUCGAGAGAUGAAUUGGUGUCGCACAUCCAUGCCUCUGGUAACGAUUUCAGUGCAUCACAUUCUCUAAUCUCAAUUUUCUUCAACUUGGAAGGCAGAGCAACCUCAGGAAAGGAAACAAGGGAACUGCAGCCGUAGAUUUCUAUCUCUCUCAAGGAGCUGAGGCUGAGAGGUGAUUGUGGCAGCUUCACAAGGUCUUGGCAAUCUCUCAAAUCUAUAUAUUCGAGUAUGCACGACAACUGGCAGAGCUGCUGUUGUUGGUCUUUCUCUUCCUCCGCCACCAAGGAUUGAAGUUUGGGACAACUUGUAAUCGUCAGUCUUUUGAGAGAGCAAAUGUCUUGCAGCAAUUCGUUAUGACUCUUCCAUAUAUAUGUCUGCUCUUUCAUAUCAUUUAUCUCCAAUUCUUCCAAUUUUGGUAUUCGCGGCUUCAAUGGCCCUGCGAGAAACACUUGAUUUGAUGUAUCUCUACAAACUACUGAAUUCUGCGAUCCGAGAUGACCAGUUGCACUUUCCCACACAAUCUUUUUGCAUCCACCAAUUAUGAAUUUGCAAAGAGAUGGAAGACUCGAAACUGAAACUAACAAUUCUUCACAUCCUUCAAUAACAAGCAUCUCCAAUGCAGGAAGGUGCUCUGGAAAUGUUCCUUUCAGUUUAGAACAUCUUAAAAUGUGAAGCUCUCUCAAUUUAGGAAACCGUUCAACUCCCUGACUGAAUCCAUGAGGAAUCCAGUCUUCCCAUCCUUGCAUGUCUUCAAAAUGAAGCGUCUCCAAGCAUGGAAAAGGAAUUGGAGUAUCAUUCCCAUAGAACUCUGAACCCAACCUCUUUACACUAGUCAUUCCACAUACUGCAAGAUGCUUUAGAGAGGGUAGUUGGCCGACUGACGGCAGGGUAGGACACAUGCCACAAUAUUCAAAUUUUAAGGUCACCAACUUUAAGAAUGAGGAAUCUCCGAACCAAGUUGGAAAUUUUGCGCCUCCAUAGCCGCUGAUACAAAAUUGUUCCAGAUUUUUAUGGGGUUCUAGCAUGUCAAGCACGUCCUUUUCAGUUUCCGCCUCCCUUGAAGACGAGCCAUCGGUACUGUUUGUCCACCGAAGCAUUAACACUUUAAGGUUCUUCUUUCCAUCCAAUUGAGCCUCCUUUGCAUCACCAACGUCUUUUACGUUCUCCAAUUUUGAAAUGCAAAGUGUCCCACGAAGGUGCGUCAACAACUUUAGCUCUCGUAACCCGGAACCACUGUCUUUUCCUACAACAAAAUUACACAACGUCUGAAGACAAGUCAACUUGCCAAUUCCUAGUGGCAUUUCCUCCAACGACUUCGUAUUUGAAUUCUUAAGAUGAUGCAAUUUGGCGAGGUUUCCCAUGUCUGCACACAACUUCUUCAGCCGAUCACAAUCUUCCAACAAAAGACUAUGCAAAUUGUAAAGCUUGUUGACUGAUUCAGGCAGAGUUCUAAUCUCAGUUCCAGACAGGUUAAGGUACCUUAAAUACCUCAAAGCACCAAUUGAAUCCGGCAGCUCAGGGAUGCGGUAUCCACGCAAAGAGAAGACCCUCAAGCGUUGGAGUUUGAGCAACUUAGGAAGAAUGCUAGGAGCCAAGUAUCCAGACAGUGAGCUAUUUGACAGCAUUACGGGUAAAAAUGUUCGCAAAUGUUGGAUAUCGUACAAGUCCUCAAACCUUUUAACACCAUCGUAAUCUCCACGAAUAUACGACAGAUGACGAAGAUUUCUUGAAAAACUUUGUUGCUUGUCAACCUCUGAGAUAUACUCCAUUCUGAAGUACAUUUCCCCAGCAGCCCAUUGAGCAAGGUCAUUGACGAGGUCGUGCAUCACAAAUCGUGAUAUACUGUUGCUUGAUUGCUGGAAAAAAGAUCUUGCACGUAGUUCUCGAAAGAACUUUCGACCUAGAUCUUCACUAGGAUUCCCGCUCUCUCCGUGAUCCAAGAGACCCACAGCACACCAUAAUAAAAUUAUCUCCUCCUCUUCAAAUUCAUAAUCCUUUGGAAACAAUGAGCAGUAUGCAAAGCAUUGUUUCAAAGGUGCCGAAAGAUAAUAGUAGCUCACUCUAAGCGCAGGUAUAAUGUCACAUCUCUCUUCUGGUAAAUCCCAUAUCUUGCAACUGAGCACAUCUUCCCAAUCACUUCGGUCACGUUUACCACGUAAGAGUCCACCAAGAGUUUUCGCAGCUAAGGGCAAGCCGUUGCAUUUGAUCACUAUAUUCUUGCCAAUGUCCUCCAAUGACUUAUGUGAACUGAAAUCUGUUGUCCCCAAAGAGUGCUGAGCGAACACAGACAGACAGUCCUCAGUUGACAAGCUUUUGAGUUCAUAAGCUUGAUCCAGGCUCAUGAUUUUGGCAACCUCUUCAUUGCGAGUGGUGACAACAAUCUUACUUCCCUGUGCGCCAGCUUGAAAUGAAAGGCUGAGGUGAACCCAAUCAGUGUAAUUCUCAUUCCAAACGUCAUCUAAAACAAGCAAAAAUUUCUUUCCAAAUAGUUGUUUCUUUAGCUCCUCUUGAAGCUUAUUCAAGUCGUGAUUAUCCACAUUCUGGCCAGGAGCAAUGGAAAUUAGGAUUGAUUUUGUAAGCCUGCUAACAUCAAAAUCAUCGGAGACGCAAGUCCAUGCCUUGAGAUUAAAAUGAUCCUCCACCUGCUUAUCAUUGUAGACAAGCUGAGCAAGAGUGGUUUUACCCAGCCCGCCCAUACCUAUAAUAGGAAUAACAGAGAAUCCACCAUCCUUUCUUGAAUCAUCCUUCAACAACAAUUCAACAAUUUCCUUCUUUUCUGUUUCCCUGCCAUAUACUUUGGCUUCCUCCACCAAAGAGGUUGUCUCUUGCCUUUGCCUGGCUUUUUUGGAUCCCCCAGCUGAACUUUUUAUCAAAUUCAGCGAGCCUAUUCUUUCUUCAAUAUCUUGAAAUCUAUCGUUGAUUUCUUUGAUUUUGGACAUCAUGGCGUAAUCGAACUGAAUCGAUUGUGGAGUAAAAGUGGUGCAGCAAGUAGGAAUGAGCUUCCGAAACUUACUUUUCGUGCUUGUACGACUGCUGCUGGGUUGAUCAUGAGCAGCAGCUGGUUCUCCAUUUCCAAGCAGCAACUUCCUCCGGAAAGCCUCAGUUUGGAACUCAUCCAACAAGUCUUCAACGUCAUAAGCCAAGUUCUGAAGCUCGCCAAGCCACAACUUCACAGAAUCAUCAGUCGUCUUCUUCUGCUCAGCAUCAUCAAGCACCGCCUUGAUCGUCACCAACUUCUUCUUCCACUUCACUAGAUCGUCUUUGAUUCGACCUUGGCGUUCAAAUAAACGAAGCCCCUCCGAAGAUAACUUAUUGACCAGCAUCUCAACGGACGCCUUCAGGAUUGCCUCUCCGAUGAUCGACAUAUAUUUUUUUUUUUUUGGGACAAAGAAUGAAACCAGAUUAUGAGCUUGUGGAAAGCAGAAUGAGAAAAGUGAAUAAGCAGCGUGAGUUUGUGAUUGUGUCUAGCAAGCCUAGAAAUCAAGAAAAACCCACCGUAAAAGUGAAAAGUAAAACGGAGCCAACCACAAAUAUAAAAUCAGAGGAUCACAGAAAUUAAAAAAAAAAAUCAAACACGUAAUGAUUUGUAAAGUUAUUAGCGAUUUGUAAAAAUCAAACAUGCGUCUUCUUCCUCUGAGUGUUUUUUUUUUUUUUUAACUUUAUUAAUUAAUUAGUGAAGUAAAUUUGUAAAGAUCACGGGCAUCAAAUUAUUGGGAGGUAUUAAUUGCGCUUAGUAUUUACAAUUUUUUGUAAAACUUUUUAAUUUCGUUGAAAAUGUAUCGUUAUUAAGUUAUUAUUGAUUUCACUCUCUUUUACUUUUUGACGUUGCGAAAAAGACAGUAAAAAACUUGCUAAAUGUCAUCAAAUACUUGUAUCUCAUCUCACAAAUUAGCAAUAUUUGUUUGGUAUUUCAUCUCAACGGGACGAAGGAACGAUAGAAAACGCGUUCCCUCAUCAAAAUUUUCUUUCGUGAGACCGAUAAUAAAUAAUAAAAUAUUCUUUUAUGGGAUCGAUUAUAAAUAGUAAAUUAAAGAAGGGUCGACAGAAAACGCGUUCCCUCAUCUAAUUUUUCUUUUGUGGGACCGAUAACAAAUAAUACAAUAUUCUUUUGUGGGACCGACUACAAGUACUAACAUAAAGAAUAAAAAAAUGAAAAAAAGGAUAGUGAAAUAACUCAACGGAGAAGUCUAUAAAUGCUUUUGUUUGGUAGCUGGCUAAAGCAGAAUCUGUAAGUUGCAGAGUCAAGUUACACUUAGCCUGCUCCAUAACUCUAAUGUGAAACAAAAAAAGUCCUGCCACCAAUAAUUCAGCAAGCUUCACUUUAUUACACGAAGGUGAAAGCAAAAAGCCAAAAACAGCCCCCACCACCAUCAAUAAUUUAGCAAGCUUCACGCGCUUGUGCUUGUCUUGUCUGCUUGACGAACUGGACAUGGGUGGACCAAGCAUCCAUUGAAUAACUGGAAAAAGUAAAAAAUAAAAAACAGUGUCCCGCAAAAAGAAUCCAUCUUUAUGUGUUGAUAUGCACAUCUACCGAACAUCUACAAAAUGGAAGUAGAAAUUGAAACUUACGUUUUUUAGUUAUGGCUCAUAUAUAAUACAAGUAUCAAUAUUUAAGUAGAAUAGAGUUCACAUAUACACAUGCGUCUAGUUUUAAGUUUUAACCGAGAGAUAAAUUAAUCAUUAAUACUCAGGUGUUUCUAAAUAAUUGAAUAAUGAUAUUAUACGAACCUUCCCUUUACAAGUCUUCAAACUCAUAAACCAAGUUAAAAUAAAAUUAAAAAAAACGUUUCUCUCUCUCUCUCCUUUUGCUAUAUGAUUACUUUAUUUAUUGAAUUAAUUUCCAUGCUAUAUCAAAGACUUAAAAGUACACUAUAAUUUUUUAUAAUCAUAAUGGUAAUUUCUAUCAUCAUAUUAAAUUAUUGUCGUGUCAAAAUAAAUUAUAACAAAAUUUUAGCUGAACAUAAGUUCGACUCAUUUAUUAAAUAUAUAUACUUAAUAAAAUAAUAAGACGAUUAAUAUGUUAUCAGUGAUAUAGACCCAACUGAAAUAACUCUAAUGUGAAAACAAAAAAAAUCCCGCCACCGAUAAUUGAGCAAAUUAACUUCACUUUAUUACACGAAAGUGGAAGCAAAAGCCAGAGGCAGUCCCCACCACCAUCGAUAAUUGUGCUUGUCUUGUCUGCUUGACGAACUGGACAUGGGGGGGGGGGGGGGGGGGGGGGGACCAACCAUCCAUUGAAUAACUGGAAAAAGUAGAAAAUAAAAAAAUCAGUGUCCAGCAAAAAGAAUCUACCUUUAGGUGUUGCUUCCUAUUCAGUACAUGCAUAGAUAAUGUACAUCGACCUGGAAUUAAAAAAAUGGAAGUAGAAAUUAAAACUUACUUUUUUAGAUAUGGCUCAUAUAUAUUACAAGUAUCAAGAUUUGAUUAGAGUUCACAUAUUUACAAUGUGCCUAGUUUUAAUUGAGAGACAAACUAAUCAUUAAUAAUCAGGUUUUUCUAAAUGAUUAAAUAAUGAUAUUAAUUAUUGAUAUUUAAAAAAUUUGUAAGAAGUAUAACUAAUAUGUUGGGAUAUGUAUUUGUGUAGAAUGGCAAAUAUAAAGAAUAGCAAUAAAAAUAGUGGAACUUUAAUAUGAUGAAAAAAGGUAAACUGUAGAAAAUUAAUAUAUAAUUCAAGGUACGUUACAAAUAUCACUUUCCUUCAGACAUUAUUUACCCCACCAAUUGAGUGAAUGCACAUGAGUUAAGCAAAUAUGUCUCUAGGAUAUAAUGAAACGCUUCUUUGUUUGCUUGUAUUGUGCAUCGACAAAAGUAAAUCUGAAUAUUCCUUAAUGUUGCAAGCUUGCCACGAAUUAAUAUAUUGUUAUUGUAAAAAAAUAAAAAAAAUAAUGUAUUGGAUAUUUGAUGCAUAAAAGAAAUAGAUAUUAUUAGAUGAAAUUCAUUUUGAGAAAUAGGGCUACAAAAAGAGUGGUGUAAUGUCGUUUUAUUAAUGUCUAAAUGGCAUAAAUAUGACAUCUAUUUACAAAUAUAUUUAUGCUCUUUUAUUUAAGUUAUCGUCUUUAGUAAUGCCCUUGAUUCAUAUCCAUUAGAUCAAGCAACCUAAUCCCCACUAAAACUAACUUAUUGAACAGUAACUCAACGGAUGCUGUAAAGAUUGCUCUUGGAUGAUUGACAUUUUUUUUAAAAAAAAUUUGGGCAAAGAAAGAAACUGAAUUAUGAGUUUAUGGAAAUUAAAGCAAAUGAGAAAGUGAAUUAGCACAAUGAGUUUGUGAUUGCGAAGGAACCAGCAAAUCAAAAAACAAUUAAGCAAGAGAAAAGGACAAUGAACACUUUAAUAUUCUAGAAAAGGGAUAUGAAACCUCUAAACAUUUUAAAAAAGAUAUAUAAUCUCCUUUUUAUUAGUAAAAUCUGUUUAUUUCAGUAGUAACAUAAUCUUUAAUUUACAUUUACUAUCAUGUCCCUAUAAUAAAUAAAUUAAUAUAUUUAAUUUAAAAGAGUGAGCCCUCCAAUUUUACUUCCCAUUUGCUCAAUUGCCUUUCAUUCAUAUACAAGCAUGUUUAACAUCUCAUUUUGCCUAAUUUGCCUUGGAAGAAAAUAAAUUUGAUUUUAUUUUUAUCUAUUAUUCAUCAUUUUUUAUCAUCUUAACAUUGGGAAGGAUAUAUUCAUAAUUUAAAGUGAAUAAUUUGGAUAAAAGAUAAUUAUAUCUUAAUUUUAAGUUUUAAAUAAAAAGUUGUUGGUUUUAUUAUACAUGUCAUUGAUGACAUGUCUUAAAUUAAUAUAUUUAUUUAUUUAUUAUCGGGAUAUAAUAAUAAUUAUAAAUUAAAAAUAAAUUUAUUAUUAAAAUAAAUGGAAUUUAUUAACAAAAAUAGGAAUUAUAUAUCUUUUUUAAAAUAUUAAAACAUUAUUUUUUUUUAGGGUAUCACUAUCCAUUUCCCAUUAAGCAAAACAAAAGUGAAAAGAAAAAUCAGAGCCCACUAUAAAUAUAAAAUUAGUGGAGCUCAUGAUGAUGCAUUUGCUUUACAUACUAAAUUAAAUAAAAGCCGAACCAAGAAUCUUUGCCUUAGCUUAACAUGAUUAAUUAGGCACUACUUCAUAGAAAACGCGAAAGCAAUGAACCCUUUUUUUAAUCUUAAAUGUCAUGAAUAUAAUUCUUCUGCGUUAAUUAAUCAUUCUUCUCUGACCGUCUCUUCAGGUUCAUUUCAAAAGUUUGAAGAUAGUUUAUCAAUUCUUCUACUUAUAAAAGCAAGUUAAAUUAAAAGAUUUUAAUCUCUCUUCUUAUUACUAUAAGUGCACUGUGCACGACAUUUUUUUACAAUAAACAAUGCCAAUUUGUAAUGUAAUGUUAUAUUCAUAUUCCCAUCGCGUCGAACUCUUUUUUUCCCUCUUUUUUAAAAGGAGACGGUGCGGUUUGGUUGUUCGCAAAAUUAGUGGUGUGGGGCUCUAUUUGCUUUUGUUUUCACUUUAUUAAUUAACUAGCGAAGCAAACAUGUAAUCAUUUGUAAAGGAGUCACUAGCACCGGAUUAUGUAAGAUGAAUUCGUAAGACUUAUUAAUUUCAAUUGAAAAUGUAGCGUUAUUAGGUUAUUAAUUCACUAAGUUAACUUGAGGUUCUAAUAUUUACUAAUUGUGGUGAUUAAUUUAUUUAACUUGUCAUAAUUUUCAUUUGAGAAUGAAAUUCAAUCAAUGUAUGAAAAAAGAUAAUUUUUUAAAAUUUUUAAUUCCUAUGAUUUGAUUUCACUUUUUUCCGGAUAUUGACGCUGUAAAAGCUUGCCCAAUGUCAUCAAAUGCUUGUAUCCCAUCUCACAAAUUAGCAAAUAUCAUUUGGUUUCUUUAUACGUGGCCAUCACAAAUUAAAAGUAACAACAUCCACCAUAUAUCGAAAAUUAAUUUUGAGAAUACUUUUGACUUUUAAAAGAAAAAUGCGAGUACAAUUUAAUAAGAGAGAACAAGAAUUGAUCAUGUCCCAAGAGACUGAAAAUAAGAUUAUAUAAACUUGAAUGCAGGCAUAUCAUAUGUUAAUCUUAAUUUUUUUUUGUUGCUGAAAAUUAAUUAAUUUGUUCCACUAUUCCUUUUUUAAUUGUAUGGUGAGAAACACAUUGGCCACUUCUGAAUCAUGUUGCAUAUUUGUUAACUCAAAGAAACAGUACACUUUUGUAUCAAUCAAACUCACUUUGUUAAUAUUCUUCAUUAUUAUGGUUAAUGGCUUAGCAAAUGUAGAAGGAGGAGUCAACCAAAAUGUAGCACUUUCUCUUGUAUUAACCUUUUAUUAAUUGUUGAAGUUAAAAAAAAUGUUAAAACAAGUUAAAAUAGUUCCAUCUCAAAAUCAGUAGGGUGUAAGUAGGUUGUUAUAAAUAUUUUUAAAUUUUAGUCUAAUUUAAUUGUGUGAUGCACAAACUUUCUCACUUCUUUCAUAUAAAUAAAGGGGAGAACUAUUUGAACUCAUUAAAUCACUUUUUAAAUUCCUCUACUUAUUAAGGCCAUCAUAAAAAUUCAAAAAUCCUUUUUAUACUCACUACAUCUCUUAAAAAUAUCGCAAAUAUGACACAUUUGUCUUCACCUUCUAUUUAUCUUCAACAUUCACAAUUUUUAUUUGAAUCUGUAAUAUGUUUAACACUGUUCAUUCACUCAUUAGAGUUCCAAUAAUAGAAUAUAGAGAUUAAAAAUAUCAUUAGCAAAUUAUUUGUUUGUGUUCUAUAUGAUAUUCUUGGUUUGGAAAAAGCUUCAUCGGCAAUAUAUGUAAAUAAAAGACUAAGAACUUCCAAUAAUUCAGAUUUGAUCGAAACUUCACAAACUUAUUUUCACUUAAAAAAAUAAAAUAAAGUAAAAGAAAUUCUCGUGUUUUAAAAGAAAAACUGCCAGACAUGUUUCUAAAACAACUAGAAACCAAACUAGGCUUGAAGCAGUGAGUUUUGAAUUAUAAAAAAUACAUAAUUGUAAUUUCACCUAAAUCAAAUGAUGAAUUUCAUGACAACGGAUUUAGACUAUAGACCAAUACACAAAGAAUUGGAUGUUCAUCGCAUUUGUUCUUGAAAUUGUUUUGCGCAAAAAAGUUAACUAUUGUAUUAUGUUGUAUUGCAUUAUUUUAAUAUAAGUGUAUUAUAUUAUGCUGUAUUGCAUUAACACUGUAUUAUAUUAAUACUAUACAACGUUUGGUUCUACAUUGUACUAUAUUAAUUUUUAAUUAUACAUACACUAUAUUAUGCUAUACUAUAUUAUUUUUUUGGUGGUUAAUUUCAAUUAUAUGUUUGGAAAUAAUAUUUAUUAGUACUUAGCAAAAUAUAAAAUAUAGAACCUUAAAUUUUAGAAUAUUUACAUCAAUUUUUUUUAGUAUAAAUGUAAAUAAUUAUAAUAAUUCUUCAUUAAACUUAUGUAAAAAUAACAAAUUCUGAAUUUUUGCUAUCGUAACAUUUUUUUUUUAACGGCGUUUUUCAAAUGUAUACCUUAUUGAUGAUGCACCAUAAAAAUAAAUAUCAAAUUUUGCGAUCAUGAUCAAGUCGAGUUUUACAUUAUGAAAGCAUGACACAAAAAUUGAAAAAAAUAAUGGCCGGCAAAAAGUUAUACAAGCAACAACAAAAGUGCUAAUUACUCGGAAAAUAAACAAUCAAGAGCCGCUGAUAGAUAUGAGUCAUAUGACAAGGUAGAGGAAUACAGAUAUCUGCAUACAUUUUUAACAAAGAUCAUCUUUGUAACCAAUUGUUGGCUUUGGCAUUAAAAGAUCAUCUUUGUAACCAACUGGGUAGCUAUAAAAUGAAUACUAAGUCAAUCAAACGGGAAAGCUUGCUACAAGACUUUGAAGCAUUAUUCUGUUGCAUCACCUUCCUCCUCUGCCUCACUUCCUGCAUCCCAAAUUAAAGAACAACAAAUAUUAAAUAACAAAAACAAAAUCUUCAAUAGACUUUUCAUACUCCAUGGAGCAAAUCUAUGGGAAUCCACAAAAUAAUUGAAAUAUAUCAAUGCUGCAGGUCAUAGUAACAAAUUACAGAUACACAAUCAUGCAUAUGCAACUAAAAAAUGCUUAUUUAUUACAGCCGCUUUUUGGCAUGACUACUUCAUAAGUUAUAUAUGAUAGAUAACAUUAUUAUUCUAAUCACAUGGUUAUGAUUUUAGUUGGACAUACAAAAGCUACGUGCAUGAAUCUGUAUCAUGCCACCUUUCAUGAGUCAAAAAUUUAAAUCAAAUCAAUUUGGUUGAGCCUUCAAAUUCCUAUUCCAGUCAAAGGAGAUGAUUUUUCCAAAGGUAAAGAAUGAGUCCGGUUACUUAAGCAUGUCAACCUUUUUUCUAGGCUAAGGUUUAUCCCUUUCCAUUUCACUAACUCUCCUCUCACUACCUUGCGUCAACAUUUGCAUACUUGAUAUACUUUCACAACCUUAAUCUAAUACUUUCAUUUAUGCUGAUAUAAAGAAGAAGUUUGAUUUAAAUCUGGACAGGUAACAAGAUUAAAAAACUGCCUUGUAGUAGAGCCAAUUCUUCCAACAAACAUUUCUUGAACCAAUAUCUAAGAUUAAGCUGGAUCACGUAAGACAAAUAUGCCAAGAAGAUUUUUAACUCACCUGACACUAUGGAUCUCCAAAUGUACUCAAUUAGCUUAGGUAAGCCAUACUUCUUCUCAAUUAUGAGCCCAGUAAAUAGGACCCGAAAAACUUGCAUUCCUCUGCUGACAUUCAUUUCAGUGUUGCAAGAAUUACAGAUUCCAUGACCAUGGACUGAAGUUCUUUUGUUAAGACAGGCGCAAGAGAGUACGCCCCUAUCCCACUAGUAUUUGGCCCGGUGUCACCAUCACCAACUUGUUUAUGGUCCUGACAAGACAUUAGAGGUAUGGGCGUAUGGCAUUCUCCCCAUCCACGAAGUCCUUUAGAACCAAAAGCAUUGUUUACAAGCAUCGAAUCAACAACUUCUAUGAAUCAUCCAAUGUCAUAGUUAGAGCUGGUAAAAUUUGACACGAUCCAAUUAUUCGACACGAACACGACACUAAUAAAUGGGUAUGGGUCGUCAAAUUUAACACGAUUAUUAAAUCGGUCGGGUCCGGGUCAACACGAUUUUUUUCCGUGUCGGGUUAGGGUUAAAAUUCUUGACCCAUUUACCCGAUCAAUGACUCGAUUAUAUUUUUUAUUUUAAAAUAAUUUAUAGAUUCUUGUCAUCAAAACUUAAAUAUUAGAGAAUUUUUUUUUAUUCUUUAAAAAGAUGAAUAUAGACACAAUAUUUUAUUUAUAAAAUUUUAAAUAUAUUUAGAGCUUUAAUAAUGUAAAUGUAUAAAAUAUUGGUAGAUACGUAUAUUUUAUAAUAUUGAUAUAUAAUAUUAUUUACAUAUAUAUAAUUAAAACCUCAAUAAUGUGUGUAAUAUUUUAGUAGAUAUGAAAAUUUUAUAAUACUGAUAAAUUAUGUAUGUAUGGAUGGAUGUUGAGACAAGCUAGAGAAGCCAUGAAUGAGAUUUUUCCUUUGACUCCUGCUAUGUGGCAAGAAUUUGCGAGAGAUGAAGCCUCUAUUUCAACCGGGUAUCUGUCAUUUCCUUUUUACAGUGGUUUUUGAUUUUGUGAACAAAUACUUUUUUUUUCGCUUAGAGAUAUAGAUGUUUAUGUUAGUUAUUUGCUAAUGUAAAAAGGAACAAAAACUGCUUAAAAGGUAUUAAAGAAAGAAAAAAGGAACCAAUUUGAAGAAGGGGAUACUCAUAGCGGGAGUUCUGCUUUGGGGUUUAAUUGAUGGGAAGAAGAAAUAGUUUAUAUGUUUACAGAAUUAAACAAUUGAUCACUGAGUUAGUUGAGGAAGAUAAUUAAUCACAAUGUCUGAAGCUGUUGCUGUUGGCGUCACCUAUUGUUAAGAUUUCAUCCUUUUUUAUGGUUUUACAUAGCUGUGACCUAAAGCUUAAUGUAUACGUUGAUAAUUACAUAAUUGGUUUCUUGCUGAUACUUGGCUUUAAUUUGUAAGCCUGAGGCUCUUUCGGGAAUUGAGAAGAUUUACGGAAGAGGAGUUUCUGAUUAUCUGGUUUGUUCUCUUUAUGCUUACAGAAUUUGAAUUAACGCUCUGCAUGAAUUUAUGAUUCAUUUUUUUUGGAGAAAUAUUUUAUGAAAUUGAAGCAUUGGAGUAAAGCGUACUAGUCGUAAGCUUGAUUCACUUUGUUUUGAUUUUAUUACCAAGAGGUGCUAACAGUUCAUGAUGCAUAAAAGAGGGGGAAAAAAACUCUUCUUGGUAGAUACAUAAAUUUUAGUUUCUGAAUCAUUUUCAACGAAAGAAAUAAUUUUACAGAGGCUGAAGAGCAGCAUUUUCAUUUAUAUGAAAGUUCAAUUGUUAUAUCAUCUGUUUCCAUAUCUUUUGUGGUAAAUAAAGUCCUUGAUGAUGGCAUAAGAGCACAGAAGAGUUGUUAGUUUCAUAUGUGGAGAUUUUCAUCAUAGUAGUUCAUUGAAAGUGAAGGCAGCUGAAUACCCUUUUUUCUGAUGCAGUCUGUCCCUCUUUGGUGUGAUUAUUUAAAAUUUGUGCAAGAAUAUGAUCCAUCUAUACGCGAAUGUUUACCCAAUGGCACUUCAAAGGCAAGGAAUCUAUUUGAGCGGCUAUUACUGCUGCUGGUCUGCAUGUUUUAGAAGGCAGUGAAAUAUGGGAAUUGUACAGAGAAUUUGAGCUAGCUAUAUUUAGUAGGAUUGAUAAGAUUAACUUGAAUGUGAAAUAUUUUAAUUUAUUUUACUUUUUUUUGGGCUUAAAUAACGAGUUUAUUCCCAUCUAUAGAAAGAAAAAGGGAAGGUUUUUUUUUUUUUUGCUGGGGGGGGUGUUUCCAACCCUAGCACAUGACAAGCAUUCCAAGACCCUUGCUGCUUGUUUUGCAGGAAAAGGAAAAACAGGUUCUGCGGAUUCGAAGUAUAUUUCAUCGCCAGUUGUCUGUUCCCCUUGCUAACUCAAGUGCAACUCUUCUUGCCUACAAAUCUUGGGAGCUCAAACAGGGGGCUGUUCUUGAUGUUGAAUCUAGUAAUGUAGAUGGGAUUUCUUCUAAUGUUGCCGCAGCAUACCAAAAGGCAUUGGAGAUGUGUAAUGCACGAGCUCAUGUUGAAGAGCAGAUUUCUAGGCAGGAUUUAUCUGACUCAGAGAAAUUUCAACAAUACAUGGCAGAUGACUUUACUAUCGUCAUUUGAUAGCUUUUUAUAGUAAGUGAAAUCCAGCCCUAAAAAUUUUAUUAAUAUGAAUAUUUUUUUGGGGGGAUUUCUUCUUAUGGCAUUAUUAUUUUGCUUUUGUGUAGCUAACAAUUAAUAUGUGCACUUUAAAUAUUAUCUAUUGUUUCUUAGCAAAUAAUAGUAAUAAUAAUAAGUAAUAAAUAAUUAAUAUCUGCAUUGUCAAAUAAUAAUAAUAAUAAUGUCUGCUCUUUUUACUCUUGGGGGGGGGGGCAUGCAGUGUCAUUAUCUUCCUUCUUCUCCUUUUUCUAUUUUGUGCUUUCAAGUUUAAUAUUAUUAUAUUAAUCUGUUAUUGUUGUAGAUAUACUUGAAGUAUGAGCAAUCUUCUGGAGAUCCUGGUAGAGUUCAACUUCUUUAUGAACGGGCUAUUACCGACUUUCCUGUAUCAAGUGAUCUCUGGCUUGAUUAUACUCGUUAUCUUGACAAAACAUUAAAGGUUUAUCCUUCUAUUUUCUAUUUUACUUCUUCUGUUGCAGCUAUUUGUAUACUAAUCGACUCUCCUCUUCAGGUUGGUAAUGUUGUGAGAGAUGUUUAUUCCAGGGCUACAAAAAAUUGUCCCUGGGUAGGAAAACUUUGGGUACGAUCUUUGCUUUCUCUGGAACAUGGCCGUGUUUCUGAGGAGGAGAUAUCCACUGUAGGUUUAAUUGUUACCCUUCAUUCUGAGCUUAAUCAAUUUUCCUGAAUGUAUUCAUUCUGAGCUUAAUCAAGUUUCCUGAAUGUAAUUGAUUUUGAUUGUUUGAAGUUAAAGAAAUGAUCAGCUUCCUAGGCAAAUUUCUUGGCAAGCACUUGAUUGUGGGAGUAACUGAGGAGAAGCAUUCCCUAGUGUUUUUUUUUGUUUUUCUCCUCCCCUAAAAUUGCAAUAUACUUCCCUUGAAGAGUAUUUUUUGCUUUAGCAUUUACACAUCUGUACAGAAGCAAACAUGAAUCAGAGAGAUUUAGUGGGCAAAUUCACCUGUGCUGACAAAUUAAAGCAUAUUAAAUACCGCGGUGGUUGUUGGAAUGCUCCAAAAAGUGUUUUCUUGGUGCUCCUGCUCCUUUUGCACUUUCAUAGUGUUUUAAUAACUGGGUUGUUUAAAUGUCCUGUACUUAUUUUCUUUACAAAUGUCUUUGUAUUUUUUUAAAUUUAUAAAAGAUUGUUCUAAUUAUAUUAAUAGCAACAAAUUGCGCAAACUCAAAUCUUAAUUUCAUUCUGCCCCUAUUACAUAUAUACGGGAUUCUCCUAUUAUUUCAUCAAAUUUUCCAUUACUAAUUUCAGGUCUUUGAGAAGUCACUACUAUGUACUUUUUCAACCUUUGAGGAGGUAGAGAUAUAAUCUUAUGUCUUCUGUACAUACCUUGGUUUCUUGAGCUGUAUGAUUUGGUAUAUAUCUACUUCUGAUUCAUCAUGCAUUUUUUUGUUAACUGGUUCUUUUUUGUUUGAGUACCUAGAUCUAUUCCUUACUUGAAUAGAUGGUUUGAGGUGGAGAAUUUUAUUCUCCGGUGAAGUUGAGGGCGCCUUGGAUUAUUCAUUGAUAACGGAAACCCUUCAGGUUUGUAAACUUAUACUGUUGGCUAUUCAAUAUUAAAAUUGGUUAUACUCCUUAAUAUCAAGAAAUUGAAGCUUCCCAAAUCAUACCCAAGAAAUGCUCUAUUGUGGAUUACUGGAUGGAGCUAGUUGCUAGAUGAUACCUUUAAGAUUCAAGACAUAUGUUGUUUUGUGUAUGGCUAUCAAGUACUUUGGCCUGCAAUUGUGGCAUAUUGGUCUUACGCCAGCAUCAGGUAUAACAUUGUGUCUGGCAUAUAUACCAUUGGAAUUCUGGGUUUCUGUUGAGUGGGCUCCAACAGCUAUAUUUGUGUCCAAUGUUGUGGGGUCCUCUUCUUUGGUGCUUUUAAGUGAAGUUUUAACUUUCCUUGUCAAAAUUUUGUUACAAAUCAAGUAGAAGGCACUGCACUGAAGCAUUGGUACUUCUAGAUUGCUUGUUUUGCAUGGUAGAUUUCAAUCCAUUGCUUUUAUUUCUUGGAUCAUGUUUAUCAUUGAGGACUUUCUUGGCCAGUCAUAGAGCUGACUAGUGCUACCAUCAUCAUUGGUAGGGCAAAAAAGUCAAUUCCUAUGGGAUGCUUUCUGACUUAGAGAAGAUGUCUUCAAGAAUUUGUGGAUUUAAGUCUUCACACGAUGUUCAACUCUUGAUAGUCUAACCUUGGUACAGGAUUUAUAGCUGUCUUCCAAGUUUGUGCUCAUAAAUGAGUAACCUGUCUGUCUUUAUGAUACCAGUUAAAUUUGUUAGCUUUCCGGGAUUUGGAGGUUGUAAAUGUCCAUAAACAACAAUGUCUUCUCUUCCUUACAGCGUGCAUCAGAUUACUUGUCAGAACAGAUGAAAAAUAACAAUGGUUUGCUGCGUUUGUAUGCUUAUUGGGCACGUCUUGAACAAACUAUGGGAAAAGAUACGGUUUCAGCUCGUAGUGUCUGGGAGAGGCUACUUAAGAUCAGGUUCACCAAUUUUAAUUUUUGCCAGUGCAUACAUAGCAAAAUUUCUUUAUAUCUAUAUAUUUUCGGAUAACUUGUGCUUCUCUUAAUGCAGUGGUACAAUGUUGGAAGCCUGGCAAAGUUAUAUAUCUGUGGAAAUUGAAUUGGGUCAUAUUAAUGAAGCUAGAUCCAUCGACAAGAGAUGCUACAGUAAAAGAUUUACAAGGACAGGUUCAGAGGUAAAUUUCUUUCAUCCUGCUUCUUUAAUGAAUAUUAACUGCUUAACAACGUACCUUGUUGUUUCCAUCUUGUUUGUUUAACUGGUCUUAUUUGUAAACACCUGAAAUCAUACAUCUUAAUUUCUGAUAAUUAGAUGUUAUUUUAGAUAUCUGUAUCUGUUAAUGUUCUUUCAAGUCUGAUUCCAAUGCAUAUUUAGUUAAACUGCUCUUUACUGCAUUUUGGAUUAGUUGAUAUCUUCCUUUCCUAAAAACAGAAUCAUUCAGGACAUAUGCCAUGCUUGGCUGCAAUUUGAAUGGGAAUUUUGUAUAAAAUUUUUAAUGAAUUUAUGGGUUUGAUGAGUAAAAUUAGGGGUUCAUAUAGACUCACCCAUAAAUUGAACCCUUAUUUUAUGUUGAUGCACAACUUAACUUAACAAAAAUAAUGUUCAAAUUGUCACAAAAUUUGAAAAAAAAAUCAUACAGUUAAUUUUUCUUCUACUUUACUCCAUUAUUCAAUGGGCAUAUAAUAAAUUAGGAGAGGGGAGAAAUAAAGGGGAAAAUUAGAGUAUUGUCGCAAUGAUACACUGAUACAAAUGCCCAUUGAGUGAUUGUCAAUGGGCAUAUAAUAAAUUAGGAGAGGGGAGAAAUAAAGGGGAAAAUUAGAGUGAUUGUCACAAUGAUACACUGAUACAAAUGCUUAUGUAUGUGUAGUGUGUGUGUGGGGCGUUCUUUAAUUUGACCAAAAAUAAAUGCAUUUAUUUGUAUUUUUAAUCAAAAUCGAGGGAUAUAAACAAAAAUUUUACCACUCCAGAGUCCAGACAUGUAUCAUUGCCUCGUUAAAAAAAAUUGCAUAAAAUUAAAAAACCAUUAGUGGCUGAAAGAGAGAAACAAAUUAAGAAAGGGUUCAAAAGAUGGAACCCGAAGAGAAAACCCUAGCAACAAUCCCAGAAGAAGAAGAAGAAGAUGGAGACACGGCCAUGCCCGACGUCAAGAACAACCCUAAACCAACAACAACAGCCAACUCUUCGGACUCGAGCGAUGCCUCUGACUCAGACUCGGACUCUGACUCAGAAGAUGAAGCAAAACAGAACAUGGAGCUUCAAACCCUAGAGUAUCAGCUAUCCAAUGAACCCUCCAAUUACGACACCUAUGUUCAAGUAACUUCAAUACACAUAUUUAUUGAGUGAUUUUGUGGAUAACCGUUUGCUUGUUCUUUCUUGGGUUGUGAUAAAAAUGGUUUUUAUCUUUUUUUUUUCAGUAAAUAAAGGUUUUGAGAAAAAUGGGUGAGAUAGAGAAAUUGAGACAAGCUAGGGAAGCCAUGAAUGAGAUUUUUCCAUUGACUCCUGCUAUGUGACAAGAAUGGGUGAGAGAUGAAGCCUCUAUUUCAACUGGGCAUCUGUCAUUUCCUAUUGCAAUGGUUUUUUAUUUUGUGAGCAAAUGUUUUUUUUGCUUAGAGAUAUAGAUGUUUAUGUUAGUUAUUUGCUAAUGUAAGAAGGAACAAAACCUGCUUAAAAGGUAUUAAAGAAAGAAAAAAGGAACCAAUUUAAAGAAGGGGAUACUUAUAGUGGGAGUUCUACUUUGGGGUUUAAUUGAUGGAAAGAAGAAAUAGCUUAUAUGUUUACAGAAUUAGACAUUUGAUCGCUGAGUUAGUUGAGGAAGAUGGUUAAUCACAAUGUCUGAUGUUGUUUCUGUUGGCCUGAACUAGUUGUUAAGAUUUCAUACUUUCAUUCAACAAUACAAUAGACUUUGAUUGGGUCCACCGUAGUUGGGUGUUCUGAGGAAUCAAUGAGUGUCUUGAGAAAACUUGGGUGGAGUGCUGGUCAUUUUCAGGAUUCAGUUUCCAAGAAAACAAAAAUGAAGUCGUAGUUGUAGUUUAAAUUAAUUUAUGUUUUUAUCUUUUUCUGUGAGCCCAGUGAGCUUUUAUUUUCACUUUGUUCGCUUUUGUUUCUUUCCCUUCUUUUCCUACAGUUUCUUGAUAAUCAAACAGAUCAGGAUUAAGUGUUUACUUUUGGUUAGGGGUGGGCGUUCGGUUCGGGUUAACCCGAACUAAACCGAACCUGAAAUUUAUUUCGGGUUCGGUUCGGUUUGGGUUAACUCGUGCAACCCGAACGGAUUCAAAGCUUCAAUCUGUUCGGGUUAAAUUUCGGUUCGGGUUCAACCCGAACCGAAUUUUCAACCCGUUCGGGUUGAAGCUUUUUUUUUUUUAAAGAUUUAGCUUUUAAAUUAAAAAUAUAUAUACAUUAAUUAAACCAAAAAAUCCCUAAAAAUGAAAAAUCCCUAAACAAAAAUCUCUCCCUCUCGGCCUCCCCCUCCUUGCUCCCUCUUCUCACUUCUCAGUUCUCACUUUCUGUGAACUGUGGUUGAUGACAUCAGCACUUCAGCAGCAGCCACAGCAGCCCCGUUCAGCUCCAACAGACACCAGCCGGCCUCAUCGUCUCACUCCCUCCCCCUCCUUGCUCCAUCGUUUCACUCCCUCCCACGACGACAACACUCACAGGCCACAACAGCAGCCAGCAGCCCCGUUCACAGCAGCCCACUCGCGUCAGCCAGCACGCCUCGCCCGCAACUGCGCUGUGCGUUCAGCUCGCGUCCCACUCAGCCCAGGAAGUCUCGAUCUGCCAACGCUGUAGCUGCUCUGACCUCCGAGAUUAAGGUUUGUCUUGCCUUGCCGACGGCGACGCUGUAACUUGCUGACUUGCACGCAACUGAUGGCAACAACCCGAAUUGAAUUUUAAGUUUUUAACAGCCUGUUGCUAUUAAUUAAAUUGUAAAUUUUUAAUUAAUUGAUUGACAAUUAUUCAAUUAUUUGAAGUGGGUUUGUUGUUGUUGAUUGAUAAUUGAACCCGAACUAAUCCAAACUAACCCGAAUUAACCCGAACCGAAAUUGUAACCCGAAUUAUCAACCCAAUCCGAUCCGAAUUGUCAAUCCAAACCGAACCGAACCGAAUUGGUUCGGGUUGGCGUUUUCAACCCGAUUGGGUUCAAUUCUCCAACCCGAACGGGUUGAAACCCAAACCGAAACCCGAACAACCCGAACCGAAACCCGAAACGCCCACCCCUACUUUUGGUGUAAUUAUUCACUCUAACUCGAAUAGUACUUAGGUUUAGUGCUAACAAAAUAGGAAGUGAAUUAAUAUCUGAAGUUGACCUAGGAGUGGAAUGAAUGUUACCAAAAAUAUACUAUAUGGUAGAUAGAAUUUGCCUUUUAGGUAAGACAAAAAUAAUUACAGCUGUUAAUUUAUUUCAAUAAGUUCGUACAUCAUUGAAUAAUAAGUCCAAGAUUUUAAUGGUUUUGUUUCCUGAAAAUUUGUCACGAGUGCAUGAACAAAGUUCUAUGGAUGAACUUCUCUUAGUUAAUUUGAGUUCAAUGUCGCAGUUCCUCAUAUUAACUAUAUAAAACACUAAUCUUGCUCUUUACUUUGGAGCAUUUUAAUAAUUGAUGCUAAUUCCUUAGCCAUUUUAUUCAUCUUGUGCAUAAAUUAUGCAAUCAAUAAGCCAACUCCACUUUCAUCUUUAUUUAGUGAAAAAUUUGCAAGGUCACUAGGAGGUUUUUGUAUGUCUCAUGCUAACAUGGACGCCAUGGUUUCACUAUGUAAAUUUUCCCCACUGAAAUUCAUGAUCCCUCAUAUACCACUCAUCACUCAUGAAGCUGUUUCUGGGGCUUUAAAAGCGCCAAAUUUUAGUUUUAUCCUUUCUAGCUUAUUAACCUGUCCGCAUCUGCAUUAUUAUCUUUCCUGUCAUACGAAAGUUUCAUUUAUCAUCUUCCCAACAUAAACAUCCGUAGGUCAUUGUUGACUUUUUUGCUUUGACACUUAUUGUUUCUAAGUAUAGGCUACCAAGGGAGAAAAAAAUUGACAUUGAUGGUCAUCCCCAGCAUUUUUAUCCCAGGAGACUGGUCAUUCACUUUCUAUGAAGGACUAUAUAGACAUCCAGACUCUAUUUUGAAGGACAAAGCUGUGGCUGAGCUUGGUUGUGGAAAUGGAUGGAUAACCAUUGCCAUAGCUGAGAAGUGGUUGCCUUUGAAGUUUUGUUGGUUUGUCGUCCUUAUGCCAUGUGAGAGCUUUUAUUUCCUUCCCUACCAGUGCCUUCAGGGGCUCCAUCAUGAUUUCUCUCAUCAUUUUCUAUCUCUGUGUUUUGCAAGGCCAUUUGAUAUUUAUAACAGCAUUGGCACCAGGUUAUGGUGAUUUAAUGCACUCCUAUUAGGAAAAAUUACAUAAUUAUCAACUCUGUCCUUGUCCAAAAGUCUUUGUUGGAGUAUGUUGAAAAUAUAACCUUGUAGGAGUUCUUUUAUGCUGUCUGAAUAUCCUAUUGCAGGUCUAUGGCCUUGAUAUUAAUCCCAGAGCAAUAAAGAUCUCUUGGAUAAAAUUGUACUUAAAUGCAUUAGAUGAAUCUUUUUCUAAGCUUUUCUGUCACUGUCACUGCAAAAGGUCUUUUGUAUUGAGGGUUAUCUGUGGGGCUAGGAAAGGUCAGCCCAUCUAUGAUGCGGUGAAGAAAACCUUACUGGAUAGGGUGGAGUUUGAUGAAUCUAAUCUCCUAGCAUAUUGUAGACAUCAUGACAUUCAACUUGAAUGAAUAGUGGGGUGCAGACCUCAGGUACUCUCACUUUCUGCAACUCAUGAUAUUUCUAGGGGAUUAAAUUUUAGUGAAGUUUGUUUACCCAACAUCAAGUUGGAAUUUUAGUGUGCCCACAUGGAUUACUUUUAACUCCUAGUUUAACUUAUUCUGUUGUCUCCAUGCAGGUUCUCAACCCCAAUUCCAAUGCAAUGUCGAAAAUAAUCACUGAAAAUGCAAGCGAGGAAUUUCUGUAUUCAUUGAGUAACUAUUGUGGAUUGCAGGUUGGAAGAUAUUCUAAAUAAUUUAAUUGUGAUGCGCAAUUGCAAUUGCCGGGAAGUUAGCAAUUAAGUUGAUAGGCUUCUUCUGGUUUCACAUAUUUCUAAGUAACAACUUUGGUUUGAAGCUUGCAUACCUUAGGUAAGGUUGAUGUCUUUAGUUGGUCAAUAUCAAUUGGGAAAUAUAGCUAACCAGUGAAGACAGUGGGAAAAGGAUGAUGUGAGUUUGACAAAUGCUGGGAGGAGAUAGGGAAACUUAAUCUGAAAGAUUUCUUUUUUUUUCUUGGUUUAUUUAUUUAUUUACUCGUGUGACCUCUUCACAAUGCCAUUGAUUCCCAUAGUUCAUGUUGCUAGGUGAACUUAACAACAACCAUCUAUUAUGCCUUGUGGAUAACUGAGAAAAUUUAUUGCUUUGGACAAGUUGCUUUUUGAAAUAGAGUGCAAGUAGAUUGACUAAUAAUGAACUUAUUGUAUCAAGUUGUUACAUUUGAAUAUAUUAAGGUCAUAUAAAGCUUACUUGUUAUACUUCUUUUUUUCUUUUUUCCCUCCCCAUUUCCCUGUAUGGAGGGUUUCUUGGACGAUCAGUUUGGCUUAGGUCUAAUUUUCUCGAGCAGUUAAGGAAUUACUGUUAUCAAAAUAAAGUUUCCUCUCACUCACUAGCCAAUUGAGCAGCUCGUCACCGGUCGGAUUCAUUGCCGAUUGCAGCCCACCUCCAUCAUGUCAGUUCAGUAGCUUGUCGCUGCAGUCAUGAUCGGCCUCUUUGUUGUCGUUGAAGAACCAAUCAAUAAUGAUGAUGAUUGAUGAUGAUGAUGAUUACCAUUGUUGAUGAUUAAUAUUAUUGAUGAUGAUGAUGUAGAUGAUGUAAUUGCGGUGAGAUGAUGAAGAUGAAACUGAAUUGUGAUGUUGAUAAUGAAAUUGACAGAAGGAAGAAGAAGAUUGUGAAAAAUCUGACUUCUUCACUCGUAUUACAUUAGAGAAGAAUACAUAUUUAUAUACAUUACACCCUAGGAAUAAAAUGGUAAAAAAAAAACAGCUAAGAUAUUGCAAAUCAGUAUCCCUGAAAAUUAGGGAUUAUAUAUCCUAAAAUCUAGUAUUUAAGUCAACACAUAGCUGUAAAAUACAGCUAACAUCUACAACAAUAGUCAACACACAGCUGUAAAAUACAACUGACAUCUGCAACACUCCCCCUCAAGCUGGAGCAUAGAUAUUCUUCAUGCCUAGCUUGCAUACAAACUCUUCAAACUUGUGUCCAUGCAUUCCUUUUGUCAACAUAUCUGCAGUUUGUUGUCCUGUUAGAAUAUACACCAAACAGAUAACUCCAGUUUCCAAUUUCUCUUUAAUAAAAUGUCGGUCUACCUCCACAUGUUUUGUCCUGUCAUGAUGGACAGGAUUAUGGGCAAUAUUAAUUGCUGCCUUAUUGUCACAGUAAAGUUGCAUAGAACUAUUUUUUAUUAACUGUAGUUCUUUGAGAACACGUUCUAUCCACAUAAGCUCACAUACCGCAUGUGCUAGUGCUCGAAAUUCUGCUUCUGCACUGCUUCGUGCCACUACAGUUUGCUUCUUGCUUCUCCAAGUUACAAGGUUUCCCCACACCUUAGUACAAUAACCCGUUGUAGACUUCCUAUCCAUGAUGUUUCCAGCCCAAUCCGCAUCAACAAAAGCUUCUACAUUCCUUUUUUCUCCCUUCUCAAAAUAAAGUCCCUUUCCCGGUGUUGACUUCAGGUAUUGAAGUAUUCGGUUUACUGCCACUAAGUGAGCUUCUUUUGGGGCGUGCAUAAACUGGCUCACUAAGCUAACCGCAAAAGCAAUAUCAAGUCUAGUAUGGGAAAGAUAAAUUAAUCUCCCUACUAGCCUUUGAUAUCUCCCCCUCUCCACGGGUGCACUAUUUUCUUCAAGACCCAACUUGCUAUUUGGUUCAAUUGGUGUGGCAGCAGGUUUACAGCCAAUCAUACCAGUAUCCUUUAGCAAAUCUAGGGUGCAUUUCCGUUGUGUAACUAGAAUACCUUUAGCUGUUCUAGCUACCUCCAUUCCCAAAAAAUAACGUAGUGGUCCAAGAUCCUUGAUUUCAAACUCACCAGCUAAUUUUUCUUUUAAUCCUUCCAGCUCUUCUUUGUCAUCUCCUGUUAGUAUAAUGUCAUUAACAUACACGAUCAAAAUAGCUAACUUCCCUUCUUUAGACCGUUUGUAGAACAUAGUAUGAUCGGCUUGCCCUUAAGAAUAACCAUAGUUCUUCAAGACUUUCCAAAUCGAUCGAACCAAGCCCUAGGGGACUGUUUAAGGCCAUAGAGAGACCUUUUUAACCGACAAACUCUUCCAGCAGGUCCUUUUUCUUCAAAACCAGGCGGCAUAUCCAUGUAAACUUCCUCUUCCAAUUCUCCAUUCAAGAAUGCAUUCUUGAUAUCAAGUUGGUUGAGAGGCCAAUCUAAAUUUGCAGCAAGAGAGAGAAGGAUCCUUACAGUAUUAAGCUUUGCCACUGGAGCAAAAGUUUCUAGAUAGUCCACCCCAUAGGUUUGUGUGAAACCUUUCGCCACGAGUCUUGCUUUAUACCUGUCCACACUUCCAUCAACCUUAAAUUUGACUGUAAAUACCCACUUGCACCCCACAGUCCUCUUGUCUUUAGGUCUUGGUACAAGCUUCCAUGUGUUAUUCUUUAUUAAGGCUGCCAUUUCUUCUUAAACAGUUUUCUUCCACUCAUUUGACUCUAGGGCUUCAUGGAUGUUUCUUGGAAUAGUGGUAUUAGAUAGACUGGCCACAAAAUUCCUAUACUCCUUAGAUAGAUUUGCAUAUGACAAGAACUUGUUGAUAGGAUGUUUAGUGCAAUUUCUUACCCCUUUCCUUAUCGCAAUAGGCAAAUCUGUGGACUUCUGAGCUUCGUUCUCAGCAUAUUCAGUAGGUGGGUUUUGAUCCUCCCUUAGUUCAGAUCUCGGUUCUGCUUGGUCUAUAAGUGGCUGUACCUCUUGAGUUUUAUUCUUCUUUCGUGAAUAGACAUGAAACUCGCCUAUAGGUUCCUCCAAAUGUGAAUUGGUUUUUAUUCCUUCAUUCCUUGGUGACACUAUUGGUUGAUUAAGUUCUAUGGUGUUAGGUAGGUUAGGAUGAAUGUCUGGACUGAGGAAGGAGGUAUUUGGUAGAUUGAGUUCUAGGCUGGAAUUACUGGACAUAUUAGGUUCUAGGCUGGAACAUCUGGACAUAUUGGGUUCUAGGCUGGAACUACUGGACAUAUUGGGUUCUAGGCUGAAAUUACUAGGCAUCUUAGGUUCUAAAAUGCCAAGAAGAUCCCAGGAAUUAUCUUCUCUCAAAUUCUGCCCCUGAAGAGAAUUACUCGUGUAAAAAGGCUGAUUUCAAAGAACUUGACAUCCAUUGUGACGAAUAAUUUUUUGGUAAGAGGAUUAUAACACUUGAACCCUUUCUUGGUAGGAGAAUAUCCUAGAAAUAGGCACUUGAUGGCUCUAGGAGACAACUUUGUUCUUUGAAGACUCGGAAGAUAUACAAAGGCUGUACAACCAAAAGUUUUGAGUGCAAAAUUAGAGGUAACAAGGUGAUUUUGUGGGUAGCUGUCAAGAAAAACAAAAAUAGGUGUCUUGAAUUUAAGAACUCGAGAGGGCAUACGAUUUAUGAGAUAAGAUGCUGUAAGAAUGGCCUCUCCCCAAUAUAUUUUUGGUACAUUAGUUGUGAACAUAAUGACCCUAGCAACCUCUAAAAGGUGUCUGUUUUACGUUCUGCAACCCCAUUUUGUUGUGGUGUUUCGGAACAAGAACUUUGGUGGACAAUUCCUUGUUGUGAUAGGUAAUUCCCUAAAAUAGAAUUGAAAUACUCAGUUCCAUUAUCUGUACGGAGUACACGAUUUUCAGUUUGAAACUGAGUUUUUACCAUGACAUGGAAUUGUUUAAAAGUUUGUCCAGCUUCAGAUUUUUCCUUCAAAAGGUACACCCAAGUGGUCCUAGAGUGGUCAUCUAUGAAUGUUAUGAACCAUUUUGCUUUUGACAGGUUGUUAACCCUUGAGGGGCCCCAAAUAUCACUAUGAAUCAAAGAGAAAGGCUGGGAUGGUUUAUAAGUACGGGUAGGAAAUGAAACACGUGUUUGUUUAGCCAUUUAACAAAAGUCACAAUAUAAUAAACUCAAAUUUUGAUUUUUAAAUAAGGAAGGAAACAAGGUUUUUAGAUAUGGAAAGCUAGGGUGGCCUAACCUAUAGUGCCACAACAUUAUUUCAGAAGAAACAAAUUCACAUUGAGAGACCUGAGCAUGUCCUUUCACGAGUCUUUUAUUCUCGAGAUAGUACAGUCCCUCAUAUUCCUUUGCAUUCCUAGUCAUCCUCCCCAAGAUUGGAUCCUGAAAUAGACAUUUAGAACCACAGAAUUUAGCUACACAGUUUGUGUCUUUAGUAAGUUUACUAACUGAAAGAAGAUUGCAUUUAAGAUUUGGGACAUGUAAAACUGAAAAAGAGUCAAACAAUUUGAUAGUUUUACUGUUCCUUUUCCAGCAACAGUGGAUAAUGAUCCAUCAGCAAUCCUCACUUUAUAAUUACCUGGACAUGGAGUGUAACUAGAGAAAAAUUGAGAAGACCCUGUCAUAUGGUCUGAGGUCCCUGAAUCAACAAUCCAAGAACCUUUUUCAAGGGAUUGGAUGCUAAGGGCUGAUGGGUUACCUGUAUGGACUGCAUUACAACUAGAGGAGGUCAAGUCAUUUUUAUUUGCUUGCUGAUUUUGUAUAAGGAGCUGUUGCAGCAUCUCAAAUUGAUCUUUUGCGAGGGCAAACUGAUUAGUUUUCUCUGUCACCAUUCCCUUUGCUUCUUGCUGCCGUUUUGGUUUCCAAUCUGCUGGCUUUCCAUGAAGCCUCCAGCAUGAGUCUCGAGUAUGCCCUUUCUUGUGACAAUAGUCGCAAUAGGGACGUUCUCCAUGUUUUUGUCCCUUUUGGUUAGCUGACUGAUCUGUCUUUUUGGUCACCAGCGCUGAUCUCUCCGCCUCAGGUUCCUUCACCAGUCCCAUCAUGACUCUCUUUCGACUUUCUUCACGCCCCACCUCAACAAAAGCUUCUCGGAUGGAGGGUAGAGGAUUCUUUCCUAAUAUUCUGCCACGAACUUCAUCAAGUUCUUUGUUGAGUCCAUAAAGGAAAUCAAAGAGACGUUCUUUAUCCAACAUCCUCUUAUUUUGAUGGCAUCCUCAGAGCAAUGCCAUUGCGAUUCAUAGUAAAGGUCAAGUUCAUGCCAUAUAUUGUUUAGAGAAUUGAAAUAUUGAGUCACUGAAAGACUCCCUUGCUUUUGGUCACGUAAUUGUGACUUGAUUUCAAAGAGCUGAGCUGCAUUCCCCAGGUCAGAGUAAGUUUCUGUCACGGCUUCCCAAAGCUCCUUCGCAGAUGGUAGGAAGAGAUAAGUCCUACCAAUAUCCACGUCCAUCGAGUUGAUCAACCAAGUUUGCACCAUUGAAUUUUCAGCAUCCCACUGUGGAUAACCUGGAUCCAAGACAUCAGGGGCUUUGGUUUCCCCUGUAAUAUACCCUAAUCGGCCUUUGCCACGAAGAAAUAGGGUGACAGAUUGAGACCAUUGCAAAAAGUUUCUGCCAUUUAACUUGUGCAAAGUUAUUUGCAAAGAGGGGUUUUCGGUACCUAAGGAGACCGAAGAGAUGUCCUGCCUUGUUACAGAACUGGAGGAAAUCUCAGAUUCUUGUGUAGGGUUUGUUGUCUUCUCCAUUGGAUGGGUUGAGAGUUUAGAAUGAGAAAAAAAUUCAGAGGCUUAGUUUAAAAGAGUUGCUCUGAUACCAUGUGAAAAAUCAGACUUCUUCACUUGUAUUACAUUAGAGAAGAAUACAUAUUUAUAUACAUUACACCCUAGGAAUAAAAUGGUAAAAGAAAAAAAAGCUAAGAUAUUGCAAAUCAAUAUCCCUGAAAAUUAGGGAUUAUAUAUCCUAAAAUCUAGUAUUUAAGUCAACACAUAGCUGUAAAAUACAGCUAACAUCUACAACAAUAGUCAACACACAGCUGUAAAAUACAGCUGACAUCUGCAACAAAGAUAAUUGUGGUGAUGAUGAUGAUGUUGAUGGAGAAGAUGAAAUUGACAUGAUUGAUGAUGAAGUAACGAAGAAUUUGUAAAACACACACACACACACACACAGAGAGAGAGAGAGAGAGAGAGAGAGAGAGAGAGAGAGAGAGAGAGAGAGAGAGGAGAAGAGGAUAAAAAAAAAGAUAGAGAAAAACAGGAGAGAAAAUAAUAACAAAAACAAAAGAGGAAAAUAAUUAUUAUUGUUAUUAUUAUUAUUAACAAUAACUUUCUUAAUAACCAUAAUCAUAUAAUAGAUAAUAAAAAUAGAAGGUAAUAAUAACUAAGGGUAUUUUAAUAAUUUAAAUAAUUUAUUGUAAUUUCAAGGUAAAGUAAAUAUAUUAAUGAUAAUACAGUUUAUUUUAAUUUUGAUUCUUAUAAUUGAAGUAAAUAAUUUAUUUUAAUUUUUAUUUCACAUUUUAAUUUUAUUCUAUUCUGAAUUAGUAAACGCAUCAUAAAAUCAUGUGAUUCUACUCUAUAUGUGAGAUUGAUUUUUUUCUUUAAGGCCUACGACAUCCCAAUACAAGUCUAUAUAGGACCAAGCUACUAAGUGGACGGUCAUAAAAACUUAAAAAGGCAUAAAAUUGGAUGGCCGUCUAAUUAAUUUCCCGUGACCUACAACAAAAAUUUAAGAAGGAACUCCGAUACCAUCAAUUCUGCAUUUUAAUUUGAAGUUGGAAAACAGUGAAAACAGAAGGAUCGGGUGAUUUAAUUUUAUACAUAUUUAAUCAAGUAAAAAUGGCACGUGCGUUGUAAUUUGCCCAGUUAUCUUACUUUGAAUAAUAACAAAGUUCAAAUUUUGUAUUCAGUGAAAAAUCAAUUCUAUAGUGAAAAACACUAGCUAGAAAAAAAUCUAUGUCCUGAUGUCUUAGUUUAUAAGCUCAAACAAUGAAUAGUAUACAUACAACGCAUGAUAGAACACAAACUCAUAUAGAUUUUUAGUUUUGAAAUUCAUUUCAGAAAAUCUGUUCUGUUCAACAGGUUAUAGAUUAUCAACUAAACUCUGCCCACAUUCUUAGCUCUGCCAUUGGAAGUACGCAACUCAGCUGCCCAUCGACCGCCAAGCCAUCAAGACAAUACCAAGAUACAACAUCAAUAAUAAUAACAUCAAGAAUUACAUAGAGGCCGUCGCACGUUACACCCACUCCAACAGGAAACUAAUUAAUACCCUCCAAGCUCCUCUGUUUCAAAUCCAAAUCCACUGCUCGACCAUUUACUAUGACGUAAGGUAUAUGGAUUAAUUAACAAGUGCCGAUAUUGUCCUCCAUCCUUUUGUGUACCUUUCUUCUGGCAAGGCCUUUUCUGGAAAGUAUUUGAGCUCCAGACAAUUGCAGAAUUUCAAUUUGCUGAGGUUUUGAUGAUCAGCAAUUGAAGAAGACAGGUGUUAAUAAUUAUGAAGAACUGGUGUAAUUUAUAUCAUGUAGGAAGCCCUUCAGUUACUUUUUUGACCGUGCUCAAGCUCUUUUAAGGGCUAAUAUUAAAAUUUCGUGAUAUUGUGCCAAAAGAGCUUCGUACGUCAUUGUAAACUGUUCAUCGUUAUGUGCUGCUUCCCCAUUUAAUUACAUUUAUUUAACAUUUUAAAGAUGGAAGUAGAAAUUAAAACUCAGUUUUUCAGAUAUGGCUCAUAUACAAUGCAAGUAUCAAGAUUUAAUUAGAGUUCAAUAUACAUGCGUCUAGUUUUUAUUGAGAGAAACAAAUCAUAAAUACUCAGGUGUUUCUAAAUGAUUGAAUAACGAUAUUAUUGUUAUUUAUAAAUUUAUAAGGAUAAAUAACUAAUAGUCCACCAUAAAUACCGAAAAGGGUCCCCAGCAUAACUUGAACAACUUUACUUGUGUUUGCUCAUUGAAUAAUGUUAUAAGAAAGAAAUACAUAUGUCAGAAGAUUCAUAGUAUAUUGGAGUGUUUUUUGUACUUGAAUGAGAAUGAAUGAAGGUAUGUUAAUUUACUUUAAAUAAUUGUCUAAAAGGAAUAGAAAUGCUCUAUAACAUACCAAAUACUACCUUAAUCAAAAUUUAUUUGACAAAAAUUUUUAAAAAAUGGAAUAAUUAACCCUAAUUAAAUAAUUGUCUUAUAUCACCAAACUCUUUUUUUUUUAAUUAAGCCAUCACCAAACUCUGUAAAGCAUAAAAUAUAAUAGGCAAAUUUGAGUUAAAAAAAAAUGAAGUUAGGAAAAUGACUUGCAUAUUGUCUUUGAUGAGCGCAUAAUUUUCUUUUAAAAAAAAUGUUGAAAUGAACUCAAACUCGUUAGUGCAACUUGUCGGUUUUAAGUUGUAGAUACGAGUGACAUGUCAUUUUAGCUGAACUAGAUUCCAGAGCUCACAUUUGGGCAGUGUCAUCCAAGAACAUUAAAACUCACGUGACUAUUGCACGCAUGGUUUAAGCUGAAAUGACGUUGCUAGCAGUCGUUUAAGGAAGGCCUUUAAGUGUCACAUGAGUUGCUCGUGAUAGGAGGUUAAAAGCUGUUGGUUUUGGAGGGAAACCCCUGAAGCUGUUACGCCUGCAUCUUCUGGUAUAUAAACGAGCUGGUUCUGGUGUCAUAGUCAGUAAUCAAGGAAAGAGAGAUAAAGCAUCUGUACUGAGAGAAAAUCUUGACAGGGUGGUCUCUGUAUUGUGUAUAAUUUCUCUAUAACCUUGGAAGCUUAAUAAAACUGCUCUCUGUGUUGGUUUUCUCCAGUGGAUGUAGGCACCCUUCAACAGGUGCUGAACCACUUAAGCUCGGUGUGUUCUUUGUCUUUGGGUUAUGAUCUUUGAUCUGUGCAUUGUUCUUUGUUAACGUAAGAUUAGUUCUUGAAUCUUUGAGUCAGAGUUGGGUCUUGGGGUAAGGUUAAUCUAGUAACUAAAGGUUAAUUUCACAACAAUUGGUAUCAGAGCUCUAAACUCUGAUUUCAAGGUUCAAGAAUGGGUUCAAAAGUGGAUCUUGAGAAGUUUACGGGGCAGAAUGAUUUCAAUAUGUGGAAGAUCAAGAUGGAGGCUUUGUUGAUUACUCAAGAGCUGGGAGAAGCCAUAGAUCCAGUCACUAAGAUUGAAGAAGGUGAGGCUUCAUCAUCUAAGAUCCCAGAACAGGUAGCAGAGAUAGACAAGAAAGCCAGGAGCACAAUCAUACUAAGUCUUGGUGACUCUGUAAUUCGAGAAGUGGCCAAGGAAAGGACUGUUGCUGGUUUAUGGGCUAAGUUGGAGAACUUGUAUAUGACAAAGUCUUUGGCAAAUAGACUUUACAUUAAGAAGAAGAUGUUCUCACUGAAGAUGAUUGAAGGGGCAUCAUUAACAGAACAUGUUGAUGAAUUCAAUAAGGUUUGUGAUGAACUGGAGACUAUAGAUGAAGGGCUGAGUGAUGAGAGCAAAGCCUUGCUACUAAUCAGCUCUUUACCAAAGUCUUACGAGCACUUUGUGGAUGCACUGCUGUAUGAGAGGCAAACACUCUCCCUAGAAGAGGUUAAAUCUGCUCUUGGCACAAAGAAGCUGAAAGAUAAGCAAGAUAAUCCAGAAAGUGAAUCAAGUGAGGGAUUGAUGGCAAGAGGCAGGUCUGAGAAAAGAGAUAACAAUGAAAAAAGCAAGGCAGAUCAAAGUCUAAACAAAAGAAUUUGAAGUGUUUUCAUUGCCAUAAAGAAGGGCAUUUCAAGAGAGAUUGCCCUGAAAGAAAGAACAAGAAUAAAGAAACCAAAGAAAGAACAGGUAAUGCAGCCAUAGCCACAGAAGAAGAAUGUAACUUUGAAACAGCCGGAGUACUCAUUGCCACAAGUCAGAAACCUCAAGGUCAGUGGGUCCUUAACUCAGGUUGUACCUUUCAUAUGUGUCCAAAUAGGAGUUAUUUUACAACAUAUCAGCCAUGUGAUGGGGGUAUGGUUCUAAUGGGUAAUAACUCAAUGUGUAAGGUAGCUGGUAUUGGGACUGUUAGCCUUAGGAUGUUUGAUGGGGUGAUAAGGGAAUUGACACAAGUGAGAUUUGUCCCUGAUCUAAAAAGGAACUUAAUCUCAAUUGGCAUGCUAGAUCAAACAGGUUGUGUAAUUAAGGCUGAGAAAUGUGUAUUGAGGGUAAUUAAAGGAUCAAUGGUGAUCAUGAAAGGCAUAAAACAAAAUGGUCUAUAUGUGAUGGAUGGACAUACUGUUGUUGGGGAGGCAAGUGUGACUGACAGUAAAUGGAACAGAUCAAUGAUGUGGCAUUUAAGGAUGGGGCAUAUGAGUGAAAGAGGUUUGAGAGAGUUACAAAAACAAGGAGUGUUUGGGGAUGAUCAAAUAGGAGCUUUGGGGUUCUGUGAGGAUUGUAUUCUAGGAAAAUCCUCCAGGUUAAGGUUUGAGAUUGCAGCUCAUACCACCAAAGAGAAGCUUGAAUACAUACACUCUGAUUUGUGGGGGCCUGUACAAGUAAACUCACUAGGUGGAUGUAGAUAUUUUCUGACUUUUAUAGAUGAUUUUUCAAGGAUGGUUUGGGUCUUUGCACUCAAAAGCAAAGAUGAGGUUCUGGAAAAAUUCAAAAACUGGAAAACUUUUGUUGAGAACCAGACUGGUCUGAAGGUGAAAACUCUGAGGACAGACAAUGGCUUGGAGUAUUGCAACAAGCUGUUUGAAGAAUUCUGUGAAAAGAAUGGUAUUCAGAGGCACAAAACUGUCACCUACACCCCUUAACAGAAUGGCCUUGCUGAGAGGAUGAAUAGGACUCUGGUGGAGAAGGUGAGAUGCAUGUUAAUCUAUUCUAAGCUCCCAAAAACCCUUUGGGCAGAAGCUUUAAACACAGCAUGCUAUCUAGUCAACAGGAGCCCAUCAACUGCUAUAGAUUGUAAAACACCAAUGGAGCUUUGGUCAGGAAGAAGGGCUGACUAUACAAAACUCUGAAUCUUUGGGUGCACAACAUAUGCUCAUGUGAAGUAGGGUAAGCUGGAACCAAGGGCAUUAAAAUGCAGAUUUCUGGGGUAUCCGGAUGGGGUCAAGGGCUAUAGAUUAUAGUGUGUUGACACAAAACCACCACAGUGCAUCAUAAGCAGGGAUGUAAAAUUCCAUGAAGAAGAGCUAUUGAAUAAACCAAAGAGCUCAGAUAACAAUAUGGAAUCAAGCACUGAGACUGAUAUAGUGAAGUUUCAGGUGGAGCCUCAAAACUUGAAAGAACUUGAGCCUGAAAUUGAAGGUACUGAAGCAGAACCUGAAGCUGGUGUUGAACAUGAAUCAGCUGAAAGUGAAGAGAACACCUAUCAGUUGGCUAGAGACAGAAAGAAAAGGACAAUAAAGCCACCUAAAAGAUAUGCAGUAGUUGACUUGAUUGCAUAUGCUUUGAAUGUUGCUCAAGAGCUGAAUGAUGAUGAACCUAGGACCUAUCAAGAAGCUAUCACAGGCAAAAACAAGCUGGAAUGGAAGAGGGCAAUGGAUGAAGAGAUGACAUCCCUGAUUAAAAACAAGACCUGGACAUUGAUUGAAAAACCAGACAAGAGGAAAACAGCAAGCUGCAAAUGGAUCUUCAAAAUUAAAAAUGGUGUACCUGGAGCUGAACCUAGAAGAUUUAAAGCUAGAUUGGUGGCAAGGGGUUUUACACAGAAGGAGGGAAUUGACUUCACUGAAGUAUUUUCUCCUGUGGUGAGACAUGCUUCCAUCAGAGUUAUUCUUGCACUUGUGGCUGUGCAAGAUAUGCAUCUUGAGCAGAUGGAUGUAAAAACAACAUUUCUGCAUGGUGAGUUACAAAAAGAAAUUGUAAUGCAGCAGCCUGAAGGAUAUGUAGCAUCUGGAAAAGAAGACUAUGUUUGCUUACUUAAGAAGUCUCUGUAUGGGUUGAAGCAGUCACAUAGGCAAUGGUAUCUGAGUUUCAGAUAUUUUUGACAUGUCGGUUUAUAACCUUGAUUGUGCAUGCCCUGUCGGUUGCGUGAUGAAACAGGAGAAUAUUGACAUCUGUGUAUUAUCGUUUACUUCCUGCAAUUAAAUCACAUGUUGUUCAUUCCAUUUACACUAUACGGCACAUUUGGCAGUUGUUUUGGUCACUUAUUGAAGCACGGGUUAAGUACUUGAUUCAAGGUUGUUAACUGACCUUUACAAGGCGGGAAAAUUCUGGGUUUGUUAUAACAAACCCCGGAAUGCAGCUAGUGAGUGGGGACUUUUCUAGACUCUUCAUGAUAUGUAUAUAUAGUCUUAGAGGCUAUAGUUGAGACAUAUGAAAAGCUUCUUAAUGUUUGUAGUUUGAUCUCGGUGAUGGAGAUAAGAUUGCUGCCCUGUUCUUCAGUGGAUAUAGGCUAUCUCCAAGCCGAACCACUUAAAUUGUGCCUCUGUUUUGCUUGAUGACUACCAGUGGUGAGAAAACACCUACAGAACAAAUCAAGCUUGAUGACUCAAAUAUUAGGGAAGCCAUAGUCAAGGUAUCUGGUUUAUGCAUCAACAGUGGUUCGUGGACUAGAAUUCCUAUCUAUUGUCGCUUCACAAUUGCACUGGAAGAAAGCGAAUUUGAUCGAGCUUUGGAUCGCAUAGCUAAAUUCAAAAGCAUCGUACAAAUAGUUAACUAAAAGACGGUAUUGUCAUUUGUCAUGAUUUAUUUCUAUUGCCUGAUGAUGAUACCCAUCACGCCUUAGUUGUCGUGAAUAAAUCUAAAAUCAAAUUGAACUGGUUUUUACUGGUUAGCAACAAUUGUGACGUUUUGAGAUUAUAAUAUAUGACAACACUGAUUAGUGUUGUCUCCCAUGUGAAUUGAGACAAAAAUUAUUUUCCCAAUUGCGCUUUCAUUUGAACAAUUCCACUGUAGAUUUAUAAAAUAAUGAUCAAAUUGUGUUUUAUAUUAAGUUACGAGUAAUUGGUUAAACAUUAAUACAAAACUAUUUUAAGUAACAUGUGGCAUAUUCUAAUUCUAGCCAAGCUUCCAACUAAGAUUCCCAAAUCAAAAGAAUUUCAAUCUUCAGAACAUUCUGCAAAACGUUUAGUCUCUACGCAGUGCUAGAAUUUUCCCUAAGUUUCUAUUGCAAAGACUUCUAAAGAACUAUUCAGAUAUCGAGCUAUAAUCCAGUCUAAAGUGCAUAUAUCUCUCUAAUUCACCUCCCUCCAUUUCACCAGAAAAUCAAUAAACACUUAGCUUCAAACAAACACUCUCAAAAAGCUAGCUAGCUAUCCAGAUGGAAAAACCAAGAAUUCUUGCAAUGACAAUGUUGUUUCUUGUUAUGGCAGCAACAUUGAUAAACAUGGCAUCACAAGCAAUAGCUCUGAUGCCGUACACACAAUCACCUUUCUUUGACAUGAUGUUCCCAAUGACGGAAGAGCCUUUCAGGGUUCUUGAACAAACCCCUUUAACAAUCGCAAAAGGAGCUGAUCAUCAUCAAACUCUAGCCCUGGCGAGAGCAGACUGGAUGGAGACACCAACAGCCCACGUGAUCACGCUCGACAUUCCAGGGAUGAAGAAAGAUAAUAUGAAGAUUGAAGUUGAAGAGAACAGAGUACUGAGAGUGAGUGGGGAGAGGAAGAGUAAUGAUUAUUAUAAGGAGGGAGUUGAAGGAGAGAAAUGGCACAAAGCUGAGAGGACAUUUGGCAAGUUUUGGAGGCAGUUUAGGAUGCCAAUGAGUGUUGACUUGGAACAUGUUAAGGCUCACAUGAAAAAUGGGAUUCUGAGGGUCACAGUGCCAAAGCUUGCUGAGGAGAAGAAGAGGCAGCCUAAGGUUAUUAACAUUGAUGAAGAGUCUGGUAAUUCUUCCAAUGAAGAUAUUAAGGCUACCAAGGCUCAAAUGUAAUUAAUUAAAGAAAGAAGUGAUUGCUUUGCUUGAUGUGCUAUUUGUUUAUGAUCUUUUUUUGGUUUUGUUCCGAGAUGUUUCUAUUUGGAUGCUCUAUUUAAUGUAUGUUGAUGGGUUUUUGAGGAAGGCUUGUAUGUAUUGACAACCAUAAAAUACUUUUUAUAAAUCCUAGUCCUACAACACUAAAAGAAAACAAUACGUUUGGUUUAUAGUUAAUAAAAAUAUAUUUUUUUAAAAAAUUCUUUUUCUUUGGCAUAUAGUAUGCGUUUUGAGGGGAAAAAAAUUUAUCCCACUCCUAAUUUGUCAUCUGUGAUAUUAAUGUGUUAGCACGAAGAUUCAUUGUAAUUGCAACAAUUUUGAUGAAUCCAAACGUUCAAUAACUGUUAAAUUGUAUUUUAUAAAUACUAAUAGCGAAGGUACAGAAACGAUUAAUCCAAGAAGUUGCUUAAAGUGCAUUAAAUUAGGGAGUAUAAAUAAUUGUGUGAUACAGUCCAGCCUUUAUCUGCUUAUAAUUAGCAACCAAAAACCAUUUGCAACGCCAUUAAAAAAACAUUUUAACAUUAUUGCUGAGGGAAGAGGCAGCUUAGGCUUAUUAACUCGUAUUAUUAAUGCUGAUGACGCAGCUGGUAAUCCUUUUGGUGAAUAUAAUAAGGUAGCUGAAGCUUAUAAUUAUUUAAGCCCACUAAAGCUUAAAACUAAUUCUUCUAGUGACGAUGCUUUGCUUAGUUUGCUUUUUGUUUUUAAUUUUUUUGGGGCUAACAUUUUGCUUAUUUUGCUUUUAAAAUUCUAUUCGCGUUGCUGUGAAAUAUUGUUUGUCCUUCCAUUUUCUGUUUUUGUUGUUAUCGGAUUUGAUGAUGGUUUAUAUGUACGAAGAUUAUGUAAUAAAGUCUUUUUCUUUGGCCUUUAUUAUGCAUUUUAAUACGAAAAAAAAUUAUCCCACUCCAAUUCAUGAAGAUAUUCUCAUUUCUGUCAUAUUGAUGUGUUAAUAUAAAGAUCCAUUGCAGUUGGUGAAUUCAAAUAUUCAGUAACUGAUGAAAUUGUAUUUAUAAAUUCAUAGUAAUAGCAAUUGAAGAUUAUAAUUAAUUUUGUAAUAUGGUCAAGCCCUCGUGUGUUUAAUUAGCACUCAAAAACCACUUUACAAUAGUCAUUAAAAGAACAUUAUAACGUCAUUACUGAUGAGUUCUGGUGAAGAUAUUAAGUUAAGGCCACAAAAAUCGAAAUGUACGUGGCUUCGUUUGUUUUUUGUUUUGAUUUUUUUUGGGGGCAAAUGCUUGGCUUCGUUUUUGAUAUUUUAUUGGCUUUAUUGUGUGGCAUGUUCUUGUUUUCUUUUGAUUUUCUGUUUUUGUUUGUUAUGGGAUUUGAUGACGAUGUACAUGUACGAAGAUUAUGUAAUAAAAUGCUUUUGAUAAAUUGUGGUCGGUUUAGUAUUAAUUAACCAAAUUUAAUUUACUUGAUCAAUUGAUAUUUGUUAGUAUUGUUGUUAUACAAGCACAACAAAAGAAGAACACUAACGUACUAAUUAAUUACUAAUAAGAACAUUAACAAUUUUUGCCGAAGUCUGAUGAAGAGAAAUAUUACACAUACGUAACGGUACCGCGGAAGGAAAAAAUAAAAGAAACUGAAGUUUAUUUCAACAGCUACUCUUUCUUUACCUAAAUCCUGCACCUCUCAUACUACCAACAAGAUCGAAAACCUUAUCGAAUACUCCUACAUCCCAGACUCUGCCCAAAUCAGUGAAUCCACAUACCUCCAAUACAGUACCCCGUUGCUAAAAUAAAGCGAGCGUCUUACUCUACCUAACAUUUUUCUUUUUAUUAAUUUAAAACAGUUUUCAACUGAGAUUGGAAUUUUAAAAUUACGUACACAAACAUACCUGAUUUUAAAGAAAAAAAAUUCUAAUAAUAAAAUAUUUUACAUAUGUAACCAUACGGCGGAAGAACAAAUAUAAGAAACUGAAGUUUCAACAGCUGAGAAUGAGAUAAGCAUAAGAAAUUAAUUCAUUAAUUAAUUAAUAGAGUCCUCCUCCUUUGCUAAAUAAUGCGAGCCCAUUGUUCUUUUUAUUUCGAAAACCCAUUAAUCACCAACACAUAAUAUACGCCCAAUUUAAAAAAAAGAAACUAAUAAUAAAAUAUUUCAGUCCCUCUGUUGAGUCGUCCUCUGUGGAGUCGUCAUCAAAAACCCAUUUACUAGCUAUUUCAACAUAAGGUAAAUGGGUUAACAAGGCCCAAUAUUGUCCUCCAUCCUCUCUGCACUUCUCUUCUAUCAACGGACAAUCAUAGAUACUUAAUUUCAAAAGUGAGGAAGGCAGGCCCUUCUCCGGAAAGUAUUUGAGCUUGGGACAAUUCUUGAGAUACAAUGAAGUGAGGUUUUGAAGAUCAACAAUUGAAGAAGAUAGGCGUUCCAAAUUUGGAAAAUUGUAAAUCUCCAGAGACGUUAGAGAGGCAAGAAGAGGAAGCGCAGCCCCUAAUCUUUUGUCCUCUAGUGGAAUUGACACCAUGUCGUCAUCGCAUUCGCUGAUUUUAAAAUGUCGCAGAGAGGAGAAUCUGUGAAAUCCCCGGCCCCGCUCAAUCAUUGACUUCCAAAUCUCCAUAUUACCCCUGAUAUCAAGUGAAUGAAGGUUGGUGGGAAGGCCAUCUUCUUCAAGGCUUGGAAGCUCAACUCCUCUUCCUAUUGUUAAUUCUUGAAGAGAGGUCAGAUUGUGCAAUCCCUUGGGUAAGGCCUCUAGUCCCUUGCACCAACUGAUAUUGAACUUUAUUAGUUUCGCACAAGGCAAUCCCCCUUCGGGAAAGGACACCAGAUUUUUACAUUCCCAUAUUUCGAUCUCUUGAAGCUGGCGGAGAUUAUGUAAACCACUCGGUAAAAUCUUUAGAUUUUUACAAAAAUCAAUUCUGAUUAUUUCAAGCGAUGUGUUGUUGUCCAACCUUUCUGCUAUUGACUCCAGCUUUGAACAACUAAGAACUUCAAGGGACUUAAGAGACGGAGGUAGAUUGCCAACUUCAAGGGACUCAAGCGUGGCAGGUAACUCGUUUUUUGAAAAUAUACAUGUCAGAGAUGGACAUUCGCUAAUAUGCAAGCCCUCGAGAAGAGAUGAGGUGUACCUUCUGCUGCUGCUGCUGCUGCUACUCUGGAUGCCCUCUUCCACUGUCAAAGUCCUUAGAUUAUCACAAUUAUGGAUGUACAACAUCUUAAGGCUCGGUGGUAGCUGGACUCCAGCAAUAUAUGUCAACGAACGGCAACUCAAAAUCUCCAAGAUCUCGAGAGAUGAAUUGGUGUCGCACAUCCAUGCCUCUGGUAACAAUUUCAGUGCAUCACAAGAACUAAUAUGAAUUGUCUUCAACUUGGAAGGCAGAGCAACCUCAGGAAAGGAAACAAGGGAACUGCAUUGGUAGAUUUCUAUCUCUCUCAAGGAGCUAAGGCUGAGCGAUGAUUGUGGCAGCUUCACAAGGUCUUGGCAAUCUCUCAAUUCUAUAUAUUCGAGUCUGCAUGACAACUCGCAGAGCUGCUGUUGUUGGUCUUUCUCUUCCUCCGCCACCAAGGAUUGAAGUUUGGGACAGCUGCCAAUCGUCAAUCUUUUGAGAGAGCAAAUGUCUUGUAGUAAUCCAUCAUGACUCUUCCAUAUAUAUGUUUGCUCUUUUGUCGACAAAAUUAAUUCUUCCAAUUUCUGUAGUUGUGGUUUCAAUGGCCCCACAAGAAACACUUGAUUUGAUGCAUCUCUACAAACCACUGAAUUCUGUGAUCCGAGAUGACCAGUUGCACUUUCCCACACAACCUUUUUGCAUCCACCAAUUUCCAAUUUGCAAAGAGCUGGAAGACUCGAAACUGAAACUAACAAUUCUUCACAUCCUUCAAUAACAAGCAUCUCCAAUGCAGGAAGGUGCUCUGGAAAUGUUCCUUUCAGUUUAGAACAUUUUAAAAUGUGAAGUUCUCUCAAUUUAGGAAACCCUUCAACUCCUUGACUGGAUCCAUGAGGAAUCCAAUCUUCCCAUUCUUGCAUGUUUUCAAAAAGAAGAGUCUUCAAGCAUGGAAAUGGAAUUGGAGAAACAUUCCCAUAGAACUCUGAACCCAACCUCUUUACUCUGCUCAUUCCACAUACUACAAGAUGCUUUAAAGAGGGUAGUUGCCCGACUGACGGCAGGGCAGUACACAUGUCACAAUUUUUAAAUUUUAGGGUCACCAAAUUUGAGAAUGAGGAAUCUCCCAACCAAGUUGGAAAUUUCAUACCUCCAUAGCCUUUGAUACAAAAUUGCUCCAGAUUUGUAUGAGGUUUCAGCAUGUCAAGCAUGCCCAUUUCAGUUUCUGCCUCCCUUGAAGAAGAACCAUCGGUACUGCAAGUCCAUUUAAGCGAUAAUUCUUUCAGAUUCUUCUUUCCAUCCAUUUGAGCUACCAUGGCAUCACCAACGCAUUUUGCAUUCUCCAAUUUUGAAAUGUUAAGUGUCCCAUGAAGGUGCGUCAACAACUUUAGCUCUCGUAACCCGGAACCACUGCCUUUUCCCACAACAAAAUUACACAACGUCUGAAGACUAGUCAACCUACCAAUUCCUAGUGGCAUUUCCUCCAACGACUUCGUAUUUGAAUUCUUAAGAUGAUGCAAUUUGGCGAGGUUUCCCAUGUCUGCACACAACUUCUUCAGCCGAUCACAAUCUUCCAACAAAAGGCUAUGCAAAUUGUAAAGCUUGUUGACUGAGUCAGGCAGAGUUCUAAUCUCAGUUCCAGACAGGUUAAGGUACCUUAAAUACCUCAAAUCACCAACUGAAUCCGGUAGCUCGAAGAUGUGGUAUCCACGCAGAGAGAACGCCCUCAAGCGUUGGGGUUUGAGCAACUUAGGAAGAAUGCUAGGAGCCAAGUAGCCAGGCCCACUAUUUGUCAACAUUACUGGUAAAAAAGUUCUCAAAUGUUGGAUAUCAUACAAGUCCCCGAACCUUUGAACGCCAUCAUAAUCUCCACGAAUGUAUGAUAGGUGACGAAGAUUUCUGGAAAAACAUUGUUGCUUGUUAACCUCCGAGGUAUACUCCAGUGUGAAGUAUGUCUCCCCUGCAGCCCAACGGGCAAGGUCGUUGAUAAGAUCGUGCAUAACAAAUAGUGAUGCAUCGGUGGCCGAUUGCUGCAAAAAAGAUCUUGAACGUAGCUCCUUAAAGAAAUCACGACCUAAAUCUUCACUAGGAUUCUCAUCUUCUUUGUGAUCCAAAAAACCGGAGGCACACCAUAAUAAAAUUAUCUCCUCCUCUUCAAAUUCAUAAUCCUUUGGAAACAAUGAGCAGUAUGCAAAGCAUUGUUUCAAAGUUGGAGGAAGAUAAUAAUAGCUCACUGCAAGGGCUGGUAUAAUGCCACACCUCUUUUCUGAUAAUUCCCAUAUCUUGCUACAGAGCACAC